UUAUUUCUUCAAUAUUUGGUGACAUAGAAAGGUCUGGUAUUCUAGUAAGUUUCCGAGAAUAACUCAGGUCGAGCCUUUUCAAGUUGGGUAAAUUCUGCCACAAAUAGGAAAUGAAUGAGGUAACAAAUAAAAACUACUUUAUCUAUUUUUCUUCGGUAAAAUAUUAGCUACAUCAUCUAAUCUAUUCACUUUAUAUUUUACAUUACUUCAAAACCACUGUUAAAAAAAAUCACACUGUCAACUAACAAAACUGUGGCUAUAAAUUUAAUAGUUAUUAUAAAAAACCACAAAAUUUAACGUGUUUUUGUUCCCUACCUCAAAUUACAUCCUAAUAAUUUGAACCUAAACUUAUUAUGUAUUUAAAAACUGAUGAUAGUAAUUUAUAAUCGAUGACAGUGUGGAAAUACUUUAUAUCAUGCAUGUAUCAACUGACAAAAUAAAAUGGUGUUGUCUGAUGAUAGUAAUUUAUAAUCGAUGACCAUCUUUCCAUAAUUUAUUUUAUUAAAUACAUAAUUUGUUGUAUAUUAUAUUGAAGUUUAUGUUAUAAUAAUAAAAAAAUACUUAAUUAGGUUUUGAGUAUCCAGUAAGACAUUUUUAAUUAAUUUUUUUAUUAAAUUUUUUAAUUAUUUAAGUACUCAAAUUUUUUAUAUUUCCAAUAGAAUAUAUGUCAUUUUUAAUUUUUGAGUUAAUUGGGUGAUACAGAAAUUAUCUUGUCACAUGAUCUUACUUACUUGUCUUUAUGUAUUAAGGAAUAUGAAGUUUUAUGAUUGGCCAUUAGACUAUAUACCUAAAAAGAGGAUGCAAACUCUUCUACAUGCUACUAAAUUUAUAACUAUCUUUAAUUAGAAACAUGCUGAGUAUGAUUCUUAUGAUAUAUGUAUAACUGUGUGGUUCAAAUAAAAGAAAUUUCAAAUCGAAUAAUGUGGAGAAGCACAAAGGAAUUGCAAAUGAAAACCAGUAGAUGUAUAAUACAGAAAACAUGCUUGUAUAACUUAUUUUUGUCUUUGAAAGUUUAGAACACAAAGAAACAUAGAUAGCUUGAAAAACCUGAUCUCCUUCCCAGAGUUGUUCAAGAUGGCAGUAUGGCAUUUCGAGGGUCACUAGAUUUUGCGGGCAAAAGUUUGGAGGCAAAGAUCUUUGAGGGAAAUGUUUCCAAUAAAGAAUCUUUAGAGUGUCUGGCAGACCUACAAUAGAUGAUUCAAGAGACACAUUUGACGUGUAUUUUGGCGUGUUGAGCAUAAGCAUCCUAAGAUUGUCCAUCUUUUCGAAACUUUGUGCAUGUACUACAACUUCAUUUACUUUGCUCGUAUCUAGUGAUAUACACUGUAUUGCAUCUAACCCCUGAAAGUAAAUCAAUGUAAUUAGAAAAAAAAAGCAUGAAAUGUUGCUGUAUGGUUAUGGGCAGAUUGAUGAGAUAUGGUAACCUUCGGAUACUGAUCAUGAAGUGACAUAAAGGAGAAGGAAGCGUUACUGAAGGAGAGUAAUGGAAAUUUAUGAGAAAUUAAGCCGUUGGUUACAGAGACUAGGUAGGGACCGAGUCAUCUAUACCAGGGACCGAGUCAUCUAUAAGAGGAGGCAGAGACGAAGAGUAGGGGUAGGAAAAAAAGAUAUGGUUUUUAUAUUAUCUUUGAUGCUCUAGCUAAGGAUCAUCUGUCCUAAAACAGUUGCAUUUCUGGAUGUUUAAUGACAGCUCAAUAGUUUGCAGUUUUUUCACAAAGUAACAACAGAAUAUACCUUGUUUUUUCUUAAAACAUCACAAAUUUCCUCAGCAUUAAACAGUCGGCUGCGUUUUCCAGGAUGCCGACGACACUCUUUACGAACAAUUUCUUGACCCAUUUCUUGUAUUAGAUCGUGCAUCAUAAUAAUACCAUUAAAGACAGAUAUUAGGCACCUAUCUUUGAGAACAUCCAUUACAAUCUUAGUAGAGAAACCAUUGCAGUCAUCAAGUAUUUCUGCCAGCACAAUCUCCUGGUAUCCUCUAUAAAAGCAAGCAAUGUCAAGAAAUAUAUUCUUCUCCACCUCCUCGAGCCCAUCAUAACUUAAUUUUAAUACAUUGAAAAUACCAUGAUGUUGGCCCUUUUUCAACUUUUGCAACUGACUUUCCCAUGCUUCUUUUGUUCUGUCACAAAGCAAUGAGCCCAAAAUCUGGAGAGCUAACGGAAUCCCUUUUGCAUAACUCAACACCUUUCCUGACAGUUCCUUGUAAGCAAUUUCUUCUGAAGAUUUUUGUUUAAAAGCAUGUAAACUAAAAAGUCUUAGAGAAUCAUCAGAAUUCAACUCCUUAACUUCGUAGAUAUCAUCAGCUCUAGCAUUCUUAAGCACUUGUCUGUCUCUACUGGUCAUAAUGAUUCUACUGCCCUGCCUAAAACUAUCACUCCAUCCUAUUAAUUUUUGAAGUUGAGCUGAAUCGGUAACAUCAUCAAGAAUGAGGAGAGCCUUUGUCCGUUUGAGCCUUUCUUUGUAAUAUGGUAAAGAAGAAGAUUUCUCUUCCUUUAGAAGCUCAGACAGAUAUUUUGUUCUGAUACUAUCUAUUCCAUCUCUUUGUAUUUUUUCUUGAACGUCUAAAACAAGGCUGCUGGAAUCAAACUGCAAUGCCAAUUUCUGAUAUAUUUGAUCACAAAUUGUACUUUUUCCUAUUCCUCCCAUGCCCCAAAUUCCUAUGAUCCGAACAUCCGGUGACUCAGGAUGCAACAAGGACUGAAUUCCUUCAAUAUGUUUUUGAAUGCCGAUGAUUCCUUGAUCAUAACUGGUGGAAUAAAGAUUCAAUUUUCCCAAAAUAUCUUCCACAAUUUUUUCAACAAGUUUGUGGUCAUUCCUGGCAGAUGAUUUAGAAAAUAAAGUAUAAGAAUUCAAGCACAAAAGCUAAACUAAACUAAAGAAAAAUUCAGAGUCAAGAGGAGUGAACAUCAUUGAAUAGAUUCACAUAUCGAUUCUAGUUUCGAGUUCUGGAUAAAAUAAAUAAAUUAAAAAGUUGAAGGUAAGUUUAGGACGUUAUCUUCCUAUAUUAGUUUGGUUGGUUUAGUAAUUGCAAAUCAAGAUCGCAGAAAUUCUACAGUAACCGUAUGUGACUUCUGAUAAUAGGGAGCAGAUUUGUAGGUACAAAGUUAAGCUAUAACAUGUGAUAUGGUUCAGAUCCAUGACCGACUAAGAGAAAUGAAAAAAGAAACACUUGAUUUAUGGUGAGAUGAACACAAUUUUAGUAAAUGAAAAGAGAUCCUGAUUAUCUAAUAAAUAUAAUGACCUGGUGACUUUUGAAUCCCAGCCUGCAAGUUCAGCAGCUUCGGUUAGAGCAUCCUUCCAUCCUUGCACUCUGUCCAUGUCGUGCUUAAGCCGCUGUUCAUGCUCAUCAAAUGCUUCUUUGAAUCUUUGUUCCUGCUUCCUAAUAGUUGAUGGAUCCACCUUGUAGAAAACAGGUAUCACAUCCCUUCCAUAUCUCUUCUUGCAUUCAAGUAUCUUAGUGAGUUCAUUCAAGCACCAAGUGGAAGAUGCAUAGUUUUGGGAGAAAACGAUGACAUAAAUCUUUGAUUCUUCUAUUGCAGAGAGUAGUGCAGGUGAAAUUUCUUCGCCCCGGGGUAGUCUCUCGUCAAUAUAUGCUUGAAUGUUCUUCCUUUGCAGUGCUGCAUGAAGGUGACGAAUGAAGUUGUCACGUGUGUCUUCCCCUCUGAAGCUGAGAAACACAUCAUGCUUUGUUAGAGAAGCAGACACGGGGAAUGAUGAAGGACUUCCUGACAUUGGAAUCAAUUUUCUCUCUUUUCUCUUGCAACUCUCAGUGCCUUUGUUUGUACACAAAUCAACUCUUGGAAAAGUCUUUGAAUUUUCUCAAAAGUAUCUUUCACAGAUCACGCACGCGUGGAAACAUAGCUGUGUUAAAAUCCUUAUUUAAGUUUUAAUUGGGCCUUGUAGUGGGCUUUGUAAUGUGCUUUUCUUUUCUCCUACAUUGCUUUAUAUAUACACCUCAGCGUUUGCUUUCUACAUUUCAUUUUACAAAAUACAUUCUCUCAUUUUCUACCUUUUAUAUUGUCUGAUUCCGUUCUCUCUUUAUUUUUUUUCAAAUCUCUUUUGCUUACAAUUUUUUUUUCUUUUUUAAGAAAUGUACUUUUUCAAGUUUAAUUUAAUUUUAUAAAACAGUCAUCUUUCUACAGUAUUAUCAUCUCUUACGUGAGAUUAUUAUAUAUUAUUUGGUGAUCUAAGUAAACUUUUAAUCCAAUAAACUUUAAAAAUAAUUCUAAUACUAUAUUAAAAAAUGAAAUUUAAAUCUAAUUCUAUUUUAUAAAAUAUAUUUAUUCAAUGCUAAAAUAUCUCUAAUUGAGUAGGGAUGUUCAAAAUACUUAUUGGUUCUUGAUUUUCACUUUCACUUUUAAGGUUUUUCUUCGCAGACACGUAGUAAACAGAAAUACAAAAAUAUGAGUCAAUGGAAGAGUCUAACGAUUCGCAGAAUAUUAUGGUGUCUAGCUUUAUACCGCAUUAAUGCGAGGAGUUUCUUUAAUAUUUUUACUCAAUUUAUUUAUUUUUAAUUCUUUUUUUUUUCACACCUUUUACAAAUAAAGAAUCGUAUUUCUUUAAUAUAUUUUAGAAAAUAACCACUAAACCUUAUUAUAAAAUAUAUUUAUGAAAUGCACGUGUAAGAAUAACAGGAAAAAUAUUACUACGAAAAACAAUAUAUUAAUAUUAAUAUGUUUCUUAAUAAAUUUCAUACCCACUGUCUAUUUAUAAAUUAAUAUAAUAUAAAUAUCUUUAAUGAUGUUUUUGUGGGUAGCUUAUUUCUCUAACGCAGAAUAUUAUGGUGUCUACUUUUAUAAAACAUUACAUUUUGAUUUUAAUAUUUAUUAAAUAUUUUUUAUUUGGGAUGAAGUAACGAUGAUGAAUCGAAUGUGUUUUGAAGUCUGACAUAACUUUUAGAGAUGUUAUGAGAACGGUUAAUGACGGAAAUUAUCAAAAACCUUUUGGGGGAAGGUUGUGGUUUUGGGAGGUGAUUUCAGGUAAAUAUUGUUAGUGGUAAAAAAAGGAUUAAGAUAUGAUGUUGUGAAGUCAACAAUCAACUUUUCUCAUUUGUGGUUAAAUUGUCGAGUCUUAAAACUUUCUCAAGGAAAUCCAACACGAUCUAUUGAUUGAGCCCACAAAAACACCUUUGUUAUCAUUGGUGAAUUUUGUUUAUCCUAAUUUAUUGACUGAUAUGUUAUGUCCUGAGUACUUUGAGUAUGGAGCAAUACUUUGUCCGACAACUGAAUCAGUAGAGCAAGUGAAUGAUUUUAUUUUAUCUCUGUUAAGUGGUAAAUAAAUAAAUUAUCUUAGUUCGGAUACACCUUGCCAAUUAGAUUAAGAUCAAGAAUUUAAAGUGAAUGGUUCACUUCUGAGUUCUUAAAUGAGAUAAAAUGUUCAGAGAUACUAAAUCAUCGCCUUCAUUUGAAAAUUGGCGUGCCUAUUAUGCUUUUGAGAAAUAUUGAUCAAACCAACGGUCUUUGUAAUGGAACAAGGUUGCAAGUUAUUGAUUUGAAGAAAAUGUUAUUUGUGCAAUAGUUCUAACAGGAACAAAUAUUGGUGAUAAAAUCUUUAUUUCAAUAAUGAAUUUGAUCCCUUUAGAUGUAGGUAUGCCAUUCAAAUUCUAGAGAAGACAAUUUCCAAUAACUUUAUGUUUUGCAAUGACAAUUAAGAAAAGUCAAAGUCAAUUAUUGACCAAAGUUGGUUUAUAUUUUUCACGUCCAAUUUUCACACAUUGAUAGUUGGAUGUAGCUAUUUAUAGAGUUAGAAAGAAAAAAAUUUAAAAAUUCUAACUCUUGAUGAAGAUGGGAAUGCAACAAACAAGAAAAAGAAAAUGUUUACACUGAAACUUUUGACAAUAUUUAAAAACAAUAGAAUUAUAUGAUAAACUUGGAAUAAUGGCUAAUUCUCCCUGCACCCAAUAUUUUUGAACAUGCAACUUUUAAAUUUGCUCCCUUGUAAUUAUAUUUUCUUAUGUGUGAUGUAGUAACAGUUGCCUUAUUUAAAAUGUUACUAAAUAACAUAUCAUUUAUAUCUGUUAUUUUUAUUCUGUUCUGAUUUUAUAUAUAUGUUAACGAAGUUGAGAAUUUUCUGAUUUUACAGGUCCAUGCACAAACCUAAUAUAAUGAUAUGAUAUUCAAUAUCAAGAGGUACUUGUCGUAAAACGGGGAAUAUGAGAGACUCCAUAGAAUGAAGAAAAAGUAUAAAGAGGAUUUACAAAUUACCCUUUCAAAUGCAGCUCCUCAGAAUUUCUUAAUGCCUUCACUGCAAAUGCAACCCAAAUAAGCUAAAGAAGUUAAUCAAACUAUACAUUAAGAGUUUCAAGAAAAUGAAACUCUGGAACAACAGAGCAACCCAUCUCAUGCUCAAUAGAAACAUCAAACUAUAUCUAACAAUAACUUAGAAAUCUUUGUCAACAAUUGAACGAACCCACUCCUAAAAUGCCAUUGAAAAUGUAAAUAAAUAAAUAAAAAUUAAAAAUGAGAAUUCAUAAUAAAAUUUCAUCGUGUUGAAACUUGUAAUUUAGAAGUAUUACGAUAAGCCAGUUUUGAUCCUCGCGAAUGAAAGACUAAUUAGCAGAAAGACUGUGCAAAAUUCCUUCCACUGGAUUCUUCGAUGUCAACUGAUUUGGUAUAAAGAGGACAUAUGCCGCAUUCUUUUAUUGUGAUAACUGAUUUCAACUCUCUCACAAGUAAUUUGCGAUUUGACCGAUUUGGCCGCAGAAAGGGAUCAUCAUAAUCAUGCGAACUGAUCUCAAAAGUGAAGCUGCGAGCAUCACACAGCCUAAGGCUCAUGCCGCUUGCCCUUAGGGACUCCAAGUUAAAUUUCCACACCAAUGUGUGAUCUUUAUCAACACCUCUCUCUUCAUCAUCCCAUCUGAAAUAGUUGUUUAACACAUCAUUAUUUGGAAUUAUCCGUGUGCCAUGAUCAUCAGAUUCAAAUUUUAGGCUGUAACCAAAGGAACCAUAUCUACCUUUAACAACUUUCGUAUCUAACACUUCAAAAACCACACACAAAGCGAAACCACUGAGCCUAUCAUCGCUUAAAAAACUUAAAUCUUCAUUUAUAGUCACUGAAUGUCCCUUCCCACGAAAAUGGAACCAACCAGGAACUGCACUCCCUGGAAAACAGAAGAACACACACCUAUAUCUAUCGUCGGUCAUCCUAAGCCUUGCAUCCUCCUCAAUGUUAGCACGACCACCUGAAUCCAGUUGUUGAGCAUUGGUCAAAAGAAAUUUGAAGAAACCCUCUUUGGAAUUUGACAAGUUUGGAACAAGAGAAUUGGACAUCACUCUUCUAAUGGAUGGGCAAUCCAAUGCCACUAGUUUUUUUAGAAAUGGUGGAAUCUCUGGGAUGCAUUCAAGCUUUUUGCAGUCGCUUAAAUCAAGCGAUUUCAAGCUUGAAAGAUGAGCAACGCUCUCAGGAAGGUUCACAAUUCCGCUAUCACACAGUGACAGUUCCAUUAAUGACGUCAAGCGACCGAUAUCUCUAGGGAUUUCUGUUAAUCUGGCACACCCCGAACAAUCAAGUUUAGAGAGAAGCUUGAGAUUAACAAUGGAGUUUGGAAGUGACUCCAGAUCAGUGCAUUUGCGGAGCUCCAGGGAUCGAAGAUUAACCAAAUUGGCAAAUGAGGAAGGCAGUUCUUUAACAGCCGUACAUAUCAAGUUAAUGUGAUCAAAAGUAGGAGCCGGCUCUGUGAUCUCUGGGAAGGUCCUCAGACUUGAGCAACCACACAAAUCAAGGUUCCUCAACUUCAAAUUGAAAAUGGUGCUUGGAAAAGUUUGUAGUGAACUACAGUGGGUAAGGUCUAACUUGCAUAGUCUGGUGAGGCUUCCAAUGGAAGAUGGAAUAAUCUCAAGAUUGAAGCAACUGCACAAACUCAGUUGUUGAAGCCCUACCAAACGGCACAAGGAUGAAGGUAGUGCCUGUAUGGCUGUGUCGUCUAAGAUGAGCACCACUAGAUCUUCCAACGUGUCCUGAAUCUGGGGUAAAUUUUCCAAUUUUGAGCAACCACGGAGUGAAAGUUGCUUUAGGAACUUCAUAUCAGAAAGGUCAAAUGGAAAGAUUGUAAGGGAAGAACAGUGAGAGAGAUCUAAGUGACAGAGCCUCUUGAGAUUUUGAAAGUUUGAGGGUACACCUUCGAGUAUUGUCGACACUUCACAUUGUGAGUAUAUAGUAUUAUUACCCACUUCUUCUUCGUUAUAUCUGUCAAAACUAAUUGAGGAAAUUUCACUGGAAGUUGGGAAAAUACCUUUAGCAUUAUGGAAUUUAACAGUCCCUCCCAAAAGUAAACUUGAGAAAGUUGGACGUUGACCCUCCAGUUUCACAUGAAGGUAUCUGGGUUGACUGGUUGAAAACAUUUCAAGCUCCUCACAGUGAGAAAGAAUGAUCAAUCCUGGAGAUGUGGAUAAAAUCUUGUUGGGAAUAUUUACACUUUUGAGAUGAUAACAAUGAUCUAAACAUAAACAACUGAGCUUGCUGAGGAAUAUCGAAGAGUGAACUUUAAUCAACUUUUGACAAUAACUCAGAAUUAGUUCUUCAAUAUUCGGUGACAGAGAAAGGUCUGGUAUUCUAGUAAGUUUCAGAGAAUGACUCAGGUUGAGCCUUUUCAAGUUGGGUAAAUUCUGCCACAAAAAGUAAAUGAAUCAGGUAACAAUGAAAAACUAAAAUAAAGUUUUAUGCAAUUUUAUCUAUUUUUCUUCGGUAAACUAUGAGCUACAUCAUCUAUCGAGUUUAUAUUUUACAUAAAACCACUGUUAAAAAAAUCACACUGUUAACUAACAAAAUUAUGGUCACUAUAAAUUUUAUAGUUAUUAUAAAAAUUCACAAAAUUUAACGUGUUUUUGUUCUCUACCUAAAAUUACAUCCUAAUAAUUUGAACCUAAGCUUAUUAUGUAUUGAAAAACUUACUAUAGUAAUUUAUAAUCCAUGACAAUGUCGAAAUACUUUAUACUAUGCAUGUUAAAAUUUGAUAAAAUGUCGAAAUACUGACAAAAUAAAAAUGGUGUUUUCCGAGAGUUAAAAUUAAACUUUAGUUAAAAUAAGUCCAUCUUUACAUAUUUUAUAAUUUGUUGUAUAUUAUAUUGAAGUUGAUGUUAUAAUAAAAAAAUGACUUAAUUAAUCGAAAAAUGUGGAGAAAACACAAAGAAAUUGCAAAUGCUUGUAUAAUUUAUUUUUAUCUUUGAAAGUUUAAAAGACAAAGGAACAUAGAUAACUUGAAAAACCUGAUCUCCUUCCCAGAGUUGUUCAAGACGGCAGCCUGGCAUUUCGAGGAUCACUAGAUUUUGUGGGCAAAAGUUUGGAGGCCAAAAUCUUUGCGGGAAAUCUCUCCAAUAAAGAAACUUUAGAGUGUCUGGCAGACCUACGAGAGAUGAUUCAAGAGACACAUUUGAUAUGUAUUCAGUUGAGUAGAGUAAAAACGUCCAAAGAUCAUCCAACUCUUUACGAGACACAUCUGAUAUGUAUUUAGUUUUAUUUUGCUCGUAUCUAGUAAUAUACACUGUAUUGCAUCUGACCCCUGAAAGUAAAUCAAUGUAAUUAGAAGAAAAAAACAUGAAAUGUUGCAUUGCAGGAUGUUUGAUGACAGCUCAGUGGUUUGCAAUUUUUCACAAAGUAAAUUAAUGACAGGUCAGUAGUUAUAUACCUUAUUCUUUCUUAAAACCUCACAAAUUUCCUCAGCAUUAAACAAUCGGCUGCGUUUUCCAGGAUGCUGAGGACACUCUUUACGAACAAUUUCUUUACCCAUUUCUUCUAUUAGAUCGUGCAUCACAAUUCUACCAUCAAUGACAGAUAUUAGGCCCCUAUCUUUCAGAAUAUCCAUUCCAAUCUUAGAAGAGAAACCAAAGUCAUCAAGUCUUUCUGCUACCUCAAUCUCCUCGUGACCUCUAUAAAAGCAAGCUAUGUCAAGAAAUAUAUUCUUCUCCUCCUCCUCCAGCCCAUCAUAACUUAAUUUUAAUACAUUGAAAAUACCAAGAUGUUGGCCCUUUUUCAACUUUUGCAACUCACUCUCCCAUGCUUCUCUUGUUCUGCCAUAAAGCAAUGACCCCAAAAUCUGGAGAGCUAACGGAAUCCCUUUUGCAUAUCUCAACACCUUUUCUGACAGGUCCAUGUAAGAUUUUUCUGCUGAAGAUUUUUGUUUAAAAGCAUGUAAACUAAAAAGUUUAUGAGAAUCAUCAAAAUUCAACUCCUUAACCUCGUAGAUAUCAUCAGCUCCAGCAUUUCUAAGCACUUGUCUGUCUCUACUGGUCAUAAUGAUUCUACUGCCCUGCCCAAAACUACCACUCCCUCCUAUUAAUUUUUUAAGUAUAGCUGAAUCGGUAACAUCAUCAAGAAUGAGGAUAGCCUUUGUCCGUUUGAGCCUUUCAUUGUAAUAUGAUAAAUCAGGGGAUUUCUUUAUCUCUUCCUUUAGAAGCACAGACAGAUAUUUUCUUCUGAUACUGUCUAUUCCAUCUCUUUGUAUUUUUUCUUGAACGUCUAAAACAAGGCUGCUGGAAUCAAACUGCACUGCCAAUUUCUGAUAUAUUUGAUUACAAAUUGUAGUUUUUCCUAUUCCUCCCAUGCCACAAAUUCCUAUGAUCCGAACAUCCGUUGACUCAAGAUGCAACAAGGACUGAAUUCCUUCAAUAUUUUUUUCAAUGCCGAUGAUUCCUUGAUCAUAACUGGUGGAAUAACGAUUCAAUUUUCUCAAAAUAUCUUCCACAAUUUCUUCAACAAGUGCGUGUUCUGGCCUGGCAGAUGAUUUAGAAAAUAAAGUAUAAGUAUUCAAGCACAAAAGCUAAAGUAAACUAAAGAAAAAUUUUACAGUAACCGUUUGUGACUUCUGAUACUAGGGAGCAGACUUGUAGGUACAAAGUUAAACUAUAAGAUCAGAUAUGGUUCAGAUCCAUGACCGACUAAGAGAAAUGAAAAAAGAAACACUUGAUUUAUGGUGAGAUGAACACAAUUUUAGUAAAUGAAAAGAGAUCCUGAUUAUCUAACAAAUAUAAUGACCUGGUGACUUUUGAAUCCCAGCCUGCAAGUUUAGCAGCUUCAGUUAGAGCAUCCUUCCAUCCUUGCACUUUAUCGUGCUUAAGGUGCUGCUCAUGCUUUUCGAAUGCUUCAUUGUAUCUUUGUUCCUGCUUCCUAAUAGUUGAUGGAUCCACCUUGUAGAAAACAGGUAUGACAUCCCUUCCAAAUCUCUUCUUGCAUUCAAGUAUCUUAGUGAGUUCAUUCAAGCACCAAGUGGAAGAUGCAUAGUCUUGGGAGAAAACGAUGACAUAAAUCUUUGAUUCUUCUAUUGCAGAGAGGAGAGCAGGUGAAAUUUCUUCGCCCCUGUUUAAUCUGUAAUCAAUAUACGCUUCAAUGUUCUUCCUCUGCAGCGCUGCAUAAAGGUGACUAAUGAAGUUGUCACGUGUGUCUUCCCCUCUGAAGCUGAGAAACACAUCAUGCUUUGUUAGAGAAGUAGACACGGGGAAUGAUGAAGAACUUCCUGACAUUGGAAUCAAUUUUCUCUCCUUUCUCUGCAAAUCUCAGAUUCCUUUGUUUGUACCAUUUCUACCUGAAGAAGUGUUUAAAUUUUCUCAAAAUACCUUGCACAGCGUGUUCUGGUCAGACAUAAAGAAAAAGACAAAUAUUAAGUUAAUAGAAUAGUCAACAAUUUAAAAAAUAAGUAUGAAAUAUAGAUAUAUAUCAUUAUCACGUGUGGAAGCUACGUCGUCUUGUAUUGGAUUUUCUAAUCUGCCUUUUAUCUUGUCUCAUUCUUCUUUAUCUUUUUUCUCUCAUCUCUCUUGCUUACGAUUUCUUUGCCUUUAUUCAGAAAUUUUAUUUAUAAUAAACCUUCAAUAAUAUUUGUACUUUCUAGCAUAUAGAAUACUUAAUGGAUCCUUUUCUGAUUUUUCUUUUCUAAAGUGCAAUUGAUAUUUUAAAUGUUUUUCUAUUUAAUUUUCCUUUCUUAAUGACACAUAAAAUGGUUCAGUGCACAAUUAAUUACUCUCACCUUAGAUUUCAUUCAUCUCAUUCCAUUUCCACACUCAAAUCAUUCUCACAUUUGUUUCUACCUGUUUCACAAAGUUUUAGUUAAAAUAUGGAAAUUAAUGUUCAAGAACCCUACUUAAUAUUAAUAUUCAACAAUUUAAAAUAUUAAAAUGCAAAUUAAUCUUUCUUAAUAAUGUCAUUUUUAUGUAAAAAAUAAAAUGUAGUUUAGUCAUUUAUACUUAGAUGGAUAAAGAUGGUUUUAGAAAAAAAAAUGCAUUUUAUUUCAAAGGUUAUCUAAGCUCUGAACUCAUUUAUGAAUUAAUAAUAAUAAAUAAUAUGUAAUUGUAUUCCAAUACCAUAUAAUUUUUUUUAUUGGGUGCGUUUCUGAUGAAUUAAUUAAUGCACUCUAGGGACAAUGAUCGCUCUAGUAUUUGAUUUUUUUAUUUAUUUUAAUGUUGAAAUUAUAGCUAUUUAGUACAGAUACUAUUGACACCGACACAGAUACGACACAGACACAGAGAUACUUAAAAUCUCUAAAAUGUAAGAUACAGAGACAUUAAUCUAUAUAUUAUAUAAUUAUGAAUUAUAUAAAUUAACAAUAAAGACUUAUGUGCACAAGUAUUUUGGAGAUUAUUUUUUAAGCAGAAAUAUGUUUUUCAUGACUGUUUCACAAAGAUUUGUUUCUUAUUUUUAUAAUCAUAAUAACAAUUUAUACCAUAAAGUUUGAAUUUUAGAAAAUUAAUGUAUUUUUUCUUUUUAAAAUUCCGUUAGAAUCGUACUAAAAUUGUAAAAAAUCUAACAAAUACAUUUUGAAUUGGACAUUUCACAAAUACAUGUCCUACCAGUAUCAUACGAAUGUAAACAAAAUUCUUUCUUCAUAUGCCGCAUUCUUUUACUGUGAUAACUCAUUUCAACUCUCUCACAACUGAUUCGUAAUCUGUGGGAUGCAUUAAAGCCUUUUGCAGUUAAAUCAAUAGUAUAUGAUGAUGUGAAUGUUAUUUAUAUACUAAAUAUAAUCACAUAGUAACUUCAAAUUUGAUAAGGUACAACAUGUUACCAUAUCUCUUUUAAUUUCUUUUAUUUCAUUAUAUAUUUAGGUGUAUUUAAUUUCUUUUUAUUUCAUUGUGUAUUUAGGUGUAUUACGUAAAAUAUAUAAUUAAAAAGAAAGAAGAAUAAUGUUAUUUUUAAAUUUAAAGAAUGACAUAUAGAAAUAAACAAGCUAUUUUGAAAUUUUUAGAUUUUACAAAACAUUACAUUUUGAUUUUAAUAUUUAUAAAAUAUUUUUUAAUUUCAUAUUUAAAACACAACACUUAGUUGAGUGUGUUCCUUAGUUACUUACCAAAUAACAACAUACAUCUUAUCGGGUCUUUUUGCGACCCGACCCAAACUCAUCUCGAUCCUAGUAGGGUUCGCAUCAUCUUCAAUUGAGGAGUAGAUUUGUCAGGAGGAAAAUAAAUUGAUUUAUAAGAACAUGUGAAGUUGUUUAGAUUGAGGAAUAAUAGAUGGAUUUUGAUUAUGAUUUAUGGUAAGUUUAAAAAAAAUAGAUUUGUUUCUUUUAACAUUUUUUGUAUUAUAAUUAUUUGCUGGCUGAAUUGUUUUGAGUUAACAUGUUUUCUUGGGGUAUGAUAUUGUGAGGUUUUAUUACAUGCAGGUACGUGAAUAUUUUUUUUAUUCUAGUUGUAUAAAUCAGGAAAAAAUGUUUUUCACAAUAUAAUUAUAAUAACCGUUUAACAACCUAAAUAAUAAUAAAAUAUUAACUCAUAUUAUUUAAUUAAAUUAUUAAAUAAAAAGUAGUAAAACUGAUUGUAGGAUGGGAAUAUGAUUAUUUUUAACUGCUAGCUCCUCAUUAUUCUUUUAUAAUAAAAAACACACUAGUAGGUGUUGAAAAUCGUAAUAUAACAAACAAGUUUUGACACACGUAGGUUUGGCAAUUGUUUUAAUAGCUGAAAAUAGUAAAACAAUUUUUAAUUACCACAAACUGCAUCUUAAAUCAUAAAAAAUAGCAUUUUUUAGUUCAUAUAUAAUAACAUUUCCAUAAAUAAAUCUCCCGCCGCCAUUGAUAUUAAUCAUUAAUAAUUUUAGAUAAUAUUUUUUACUAUAAAACAUUUAAUUGAGAUUGAAUUUUUAAUUCACACUUUUUGGUCAAAGAAUAAUAUAUUUCAUUUUUUUAUUUAUUAAAUAUUUUGUAUAAUGCUGAGAAAAAAAAAUCUCACACACACACACACAUAUAUAUAUAUAUGAUCCCUAUGUCCUACAAGUACAAUAUAACAUCGUUAGUAUAAUGAAUAAAAAUAAUGAGUAUUCAAAGUCGUGUAUUUACGUAAAAGAAUAACAUGAUUUUUAAAAGAACUCACAUUAUCAGUUUAAAUUUUGACGAUAAAAUACAUUAAUUAUAUAUAUUUAUUCAAAAUUUCAAUUAUAUUAUGCAUUAAUGGUUUUAUGCUUUUAGAGGAAUCAGAGAAACUUAGAAAAGCUUAAUGAAACCCUAUGAAUAAAGGAGAUGUAAAAGAAAGAGAAAAAGGAAGUGAGAAAAGAUGAUAAUUAAUAAACACCCACUCUUCAUAACAUAGAGUCUUUAAACCUAUAUUCCCUCAAACAGCAUUUAUAAGUUAUUAUCACCCACAUGGAAUAAGGUGCCUCAAUGUGAACAAACCAAGAUCAGUAAGAAAUAUGAGGUUCAAAUAACGAAGCUGAGAAUUUUCUGGUUUUACAGCUCCAUGCACAAACCUAAUACAAUGAUAUGAUAUUCCAUAGGAUGGAGAAAAGUAUGAUAUGAAGAGGAUUUACCAAUUACCCUUUCGAAUGCAGCUCCUCAGGAUUCCAUCAUGCCUUCACUGCACAUGCAACCCAAAUAUGCUAAAGAAGUUAAUCAAACCCAAAUAUAAAGAAUUUCUAGAGAAUGCAACUCUGGGACAACAGAGUACCCCAUCUCAAGCUGAACAGAAACAUUAAACUAUAUCUAACAAUAACUUAGAAAUCUUUGUCAACAAUGAACGAAUCCAACCGUAAAAUGCCAUUGAAAAUGUAAAUAAAACAAAAUAAAUUAGAUAUGAGAAAUUCAUGAUAAAAUUUCAACACUUGUAAUGUAGAAGCAUUACGAUAAGCCAGUUUUGAUCCUCACCAAUGAAAGUCUAAUUAGCAGAAGAGGAAGAGACUAGUUGACUGGGUAGCUUUCUGCAAUGCCUAUUUUAAGGUUACGCUUCCGGCAAAAAUAUAAUAGAAGACUGCUCUCAUGUCAAAGUUUCUCAUACAUAGAACAACCCGCAAAAGAGAUUAAACAUUCCAAAAGAUGUCUCAACAGAAAUGAAAUGAGAUCCUAACAACUUGUUGGGAAAGUACUAUUUUGCCUUCAAUUCCAUUACUUCCUUUUGCCUUUAAGAGUGCAGUCAUAAUCAUCAAAAUACUUAGACUUUGUGAUAUGUCUUUUGGGCUUGCUAUUCAUCUUUUGUUGCCUCCUCUUGAGCCAUAACACUUUUGGCCUUCCUCUUCCUAUAUUCCCUUGUGUCUCUUGAAGACUGUGCAACAUUACUUCGACUGGAUUAUUCAAUGUGAACAGCACCACCAUAUUCAUCAUCUUUCUUUUUGGAAUAAAGAGGGCAUAUGCCGCAUUCUUUUACUCUGAUAUCGGGCCACCAAUGGCUGAUCUCAAAAGUGAAGCUGCGAGCAUCACAGAGCCUAAGGCUCAUGCCGCUUGCCCUUAGGGACUCCAAGUUAAAUUUCCACACAAAUGUGUGAUCUUUAUCAAGAAAUCUGCCUGCAUCCGUCAAGUUUAACACAUCAUUAUUUGGAAUGAUCUGUGUGCCAUCAUCAUCAGAUUCAAAUUUUAGGCUGUAACCAAAAGAACUAUAUCUACCUUUAAUAUCAUUCGUAUCUAACACUUCAAAAACCACGCACAAAGAGAAACCAGUGAGCCUAUUAUCGCUGCAAAAACUUAAAUCUUCAUUUAUAGUCACUGAAUGUCCCUUCCCACGAAAAUGGAACCAACCAGGAACUGCACUCCCUGGAUAACAGAAGAACACAGACCUAUAUGCAUCGUCGGUCAUCCUAAGCCUUGCAUCCUUCUCAAUGUUAGCACGACCACCUGAAUCCAGUUGUUGAGCAUUGGUGAAAUGAAAUUUGAAUACACCCUCUUUGGAAUUUGAGAGGUUCCGAACAAGAGAAUUUGACAUCACUUUUCUAAUGGAUGGGCAAUCCAAUGCCACGAGUUGUUUUAGAAAUGGUGGAAUCGGUGGGAUGCAUUCAAGCUUUUUGCAGUCGCUUAAAUCAAGCGAUUUCAAGCUCGAAAGAUGAGCAAUGCUCUCAGGAAGGUUCACGAUUCCGCUAUCACGCAGUGACAGUUCCAUUAAUGACGUCAAACGACCAAUGUGCCUUGGGAUUUCUGUUAAUUUGGCACACCCCGAACAAUCAAGUUUAGAGAGAAGCUUCAGAUUAACAAUGCAGUUUGGAAGUGACUCGAGAUCAGUGCAUUUGCGGAGCUCCAGGGAACGAAGAUUAACGAAAUUGGCAAAUGAGGAAGGCAGUUCUUUAACAGUCGUAGAUGUUAAGUUAAUGUGAGCAAAAGUAUGAGCCGACUCCGUGAUCUCUGGGAAGGUCCUCAGCCUUGAGCAACCACGCAAAUCAAGGUUCCUCAACUUCAAAUUGAAAAUGGUGCUUGGAAAAGUUUGAAGUGAAUUACAGUGGGCAAGGUCUAACUUGCAUAGUCUGGUGAGGCUUCCAAUGGAAGAUGGAAUAAUCUCAAGAUUGAAGCAACUGUGCAAACUCAGUUGUUGAAGCCCUACCAAACGGCACAAGGAUGAAGGUAGUGCCUGUAUGGCUGUGUCGUCUAAGAUGAGCACCGCUAGAUCUUCCAACGUGUCCUGAAUCUCGGGUAAAUUUUCCAGUUUUGAGCAACCACUGAGACAAAGUUGCUUUAGGAAUUUCAUAUCAGAAAGGUCAAACGGAAAGAUUGUAAGGGAAGAACAGUCAGAGAGAUCUAAGUAACAGAGGUUCUUGAGACUUUGAAAGUUUAAGGGCACACCUUCCAAGAGACUGUUGAACACCUCUGAGUCUUCUGAGUCUGUAGCAUUAUUAGCCACUUCUAUAUUAUAUCUGUCAAAAGUAAUUGACAAAAUUUCACUGCUUGGGGAAAUUUCACUGGAAGUUGGGAAAUUUAUCUCUUUCGUCAUAUCCAGUUCCUGACGCUCCAGUAUGACAUGAGGGAGAAAUUUAUCUUCAUGUUUACUGAUUGAAAACAUAUUAAGCUUCCGACAAUGGGAAAGAGUAAUCCAUCCUGGUGAUGUGGAUAAAAUGUUGCUCGGAAUAUUUACACUAUUCAGAUCAUCACAAUGAUCUAAACAUAAACAACUGAGUUUGCUGAGGAAUAUCGAAGAGUGAAUUUCAAUCAACUUUUUACAAUAACUCAGAAUUAUUUUUUCAAUAUUUGGUGACAUAGAAAGGUCUGGUAUUCUAGCAAGUUUCCAAGAACGUGUCAGGUCGAGCCUUUUCAAGUUGGGUAAAUUCUGCCACAAAAAGUAAAUGAAUCAGGUAACAAAUAAUAACUACUUUAUCUAUUUUUCUUCCUAUUUAAACUAUUAGCUACUACUAUUGAGUUUAUAUUUUACAUUACUUAAAAACCACUGUUAAAAAAGCCACACUGUGGACUAACAAAAUUAUAUUUUAAAAUAUUAUUAAAGAUAAAAUAUGAAGAUAGGGUAAUUAAAUUAAAUAUAAUUUUUAUUUUUCAGAAAUGAUGAAAAUUAUAAUUAAAUUAACUAAAUUAUAUAAAAUUCCAUUUUAUUUACAUAACUCCUUUUCAUAUUAAAAAACUAUAUAAGAUCUUGAAACUAUAAUUAAUAUCUUAAAAAUUUAAAUAAUAAUAAUUAUUUCUACUCAUCCUUAAUUUUUGUUGGUGAAAUCUUGAUUUUUGGGAUAAUAUCACUUAAACUUAAGAAAUAUUUGACAUUAAUGAACUCUAAACAAAUUUAUAUAAGAAAUCAAGACAUCACUUUCAAUCCGAAAUCUUAAACUAAUAGGUUUAUGGAUUUUCUUUAUAUGUUGUUCAUCUUACCAAUUUGAACCCAAUGCGAGACUUUCAACUCUAAGAGAUGAAGUGGUGUACUUUAUGCUUCUAGGACUUGUUAGAUAUUGAAACAUGUACCAUUGCUAAAAUGUUUGAAUGAAGGAGAAGUCAAAGUCUCUCUCCUUUAGAGAUAUUCGCUCAAGUGGCAAGAGGUUGAUUAAGCAAGAGAGAGAUCGUAUUAAUUCUCUCUUCUAUGCAAUUGUUGUCGUUCAAACAAUGUGGAAUCAUUCAAGCAAAGAAAUCUUCUUUUGGGUUAGGAAACAAGGUUUUUCAAGCGAGAUAAACUCGUCUAAAGAAUUUAACUCUAGUAGUGAAAUGUUGUUGCCAUGAUUUAGCCAAGUGUUUGUAUCUAUGAGGCUAAUGAUGAUGAUGACGAUGAUAAGAUGCAUGAAUGUGUAUACACAAGUGUAUGAUAUACCUCAUGUUAUAUAUUGUAUGUGAUUCAAUUGAUGACCAUUUAUUUUUAGGCCAUUUAUAUGUAUAUUUUGGCCCUUUUAUGAGUAUGUGACGAGAUAUACCUAAGAUUGUAUUAUGAUCCUAAUGAGUCGAAGUAUCAAACACAAAACUCAUUAUGGAAAAAAAAAGAUAUUUUGUGCAUCAGUUAUGAUAUGAUCACAACAAUUAAAGCAUGUGUGAACGGUUAAUAUUGUUCUUAAUAAGAAAACAAAUAAUAUUGUAUGUGACAUUAGAGAUGUCAAAUAGGUUUAGAAAAUUAUUAAGUUUAAUUAUCUUUUUAGUCUUUAUAUUAAUGACCAAAAGUCAAUUCAGAUUUUUAGAAAGUUCAAUAUGAUUUAAUUUUUUAAAAAACAAUUCAAUGUGAUUCCUUCUAGUAUAUUUCCCUUAUUAAAAUAUUUUUAUCUUAAUGAUUCUGCCACUGUUAAGUUAUAUGUGUUGUUAUCACAUUGAAUUGUUUUAAAAAAAUUUGGAACCACCACAUUAAAUUGUUUUAAAAAGUUAGUACUAAAUUGAACUUUUGAAAAUUGGGAGAAUGAAAUUAAAUUUUGUCUAUUAAUACAGGGACAAAAAAUAAUUGAAUCAAAUAUUUUACUAUUUUUGUGAUGUAUAUUUAUAUAUAAAUAAUUUUGAGAAUUUAGAGUUACAAUGUGUUAUAUCAUAUAUAUAUAAUUCUUUUUGGUAAUGUAUCCUGUAGUUGUAAGCAAGUAUGAUUAUAUUAAGUGGGGCGUUUCAAAUAGUGGAGACUACGCAUAUACAAAUAUCUCUUAUAAAGUAAGAAAACAAAACAAUCGUUACUCAAGAAGAUCAUGCAAUGCAUCACAGACAACAUGGGAGAUAUAUAUCAACAAUAAUAUGAGUAAAUAAUACAUUCAUGGGCCAUUAGACGAUAUGCCUAAAAAAAAUAUGCAAACUAUUAAAUUUAUAAUUAUUUUUAAUUAGAAACAUGCUGAGUAUGACUCUUAUGAUAUAUGUAUAACUGUGUGCUUCAAAUAAAAGAAAUUUCAAAUCGAAUAAUGUGGAGAAGGCACAAAGGAAUUGCAAAUGAAAACCUGUAGAUGUAUAAUACACAAAACAUGCUUGUCUAAUUUAUUUUUAUCUUUGAAAGUUUAGAACACAAAGGAACAUAGAUAACUUGAAAAACCUGAUCUCCUUCCCAGAGUUGUUCAAGAUCGCAGUAUGGCAUUUCGAGGAUCACUAGAUUUUGUGGGCAAAAGUUUGGAGGCCAGAAUCUUUGAAGGAAACCGUUCCAAUAAAGAAACUUUAGAGUGUCCGGCAGACCUACAAGAGAUGAUUCAAGAGACACUUUUGAAUUCAAUCUAGGCAUGUAGACCAUAAGCAUCAUAAGAUUGUCCAUCUUUUCGAAACUUUGUGCAUGUACUACAGCAUCUUUUACUUUGUUCGUAUGAUAUUGAUAUACACUGUAUUGCAUCUGACCCCUGAAAGUAAAUCAAUGUAAUUAGAAAAAAAAACAUGAAAUGUUGCAUUUCAGGAUGCUUAAUGACAGCUCAGUAGUUUUCUAUUUUUCACAAAGUAACAACAGCAUAUACCUUGUUCUUUCUUAAAACCUCACAAAUUUCCUCAUCAUUAAACAAUCGGCUGCGUUUUCCAGGAUGCUGAGGACACUCUUUACGAACAAUUUCUUUACCCAUUUCUUGUAUUAGAUCGUGCAUCACAAUUCUACCAUCAAAGACAGAGAUUAGACCCCUAUCUUUGAGAAUAUCCAUUCCAAUCUUAGAAGAGAAACCACAGUCAUCAAGUGUUUCUGCUACCACAGUCUCCUCUUGCCCUCUAUAAAAGCAAGCUAUGUCAAGAAAUAUAUUCUUCUCCUCCUCCUUGAGCCCAUAAUAACUUAAUUUUAAUACGUCGAAAGUUCCAAGAUCUUGGCCGUUUUCCAACUUUUGCAACUGACUCUCCCAUGCUUCUCUUGUUCUGCCAUAAAGCAAUGACCCCAAAAUCUGGAGAGCUAACGGAAUUCCUUUUGCAUAUCUCAACACCUUUACUGACAGGUCCAUGUAAGCAAUUCCUUCUGAAGAUUUUUGUUUAAAAGCAUGUAAACUAAAAAGUUUCAGAGAAUCAUAAAAAUUCAACUCCUUAACUUCGUAGAUAUCAUCAGCUCCAGCAUUCUUAAGCACUUGUCUGUCUCUACUGGUCAUAAUGAUUCUACUGCCCUGCCCAAAACUAUCACUCCCACCUAUUAAUUUUUGAAGUUGAGUUGAAUCGGUAACAUCAUCAAGAAUGAGGAGAACCUUUGUCCGUUUGAGCCUUUCAUUGUAAUAUGGUAAAUAAGAGGAUUUCUCUUCCUUUAGAAGCUCAGACUGAUAUUUUGUUCUGAUACCGUCUAUUCCAUCUCUUUGUAUUUUUUCUUGAACGUCUAAAACAAGGCUGCUGGAAUCAAACUGCAAUGCCAAUUUCUGAUAUAUUUGAUCACAAAUUGUAGUUUUUCCUAUUCCUCCCAUGCCACAAAUUCCUAUGAUCCGAACAUCCGUUGACUCAAGAUGCAACAAGGACUGAAUUCCUUCAAUAUUUUUUUCAAUGCCGAUGAUUCCUUGAUCAUAACUGGCGGAAUAACGAUUCAAUUUUCUCAAAAUAUCUUCCACAAUUUCUUCAACAAGUGCGUGUUCUGGCCUGGCAGAUGAUUUAGAAAAUAAAGUAUAAGUAUUCAAGCACAAAAGCUAAAGUAAACUAAAGAAAAAUUUUACAGUAACCGUUUGUGACUUCUGAUACUAGGGAGCAUACUUGUAGGUACAAAGUUAAGCUAUUGUGUGAUAUGGUUCAGAUCUAUGACCGACUAAUAGAAAUGAAAAAAGAAGCACUUGAUUUAUGGUGAGAUGAACACAAUUUUAGUAAAUGAAAAGAGAUCCUGAUUAUCUAAUAAAUAUAAUGACCUGGUGACUUUUGAAUCCCAGCCUGCAAGUCCAGCAGCUUCGGUGAGAGCAUCCUUCCAUCCUUGCACUGUGUCGUGCUUAAAGUGCUGCUCAUGCUCAUUGAAUGCUUCUUUGUAUCUUUCUUCCUGCUUCCUAAUAGUUGAUGGAUCCACCUUGUAGAAAACAGGUAUCACAUCCCUUCCAUAUCUCUUCUUGCAAUCAAGUAUCUUAGUGAGUUCAUCCAAGCACCAUGUGGAAGAUGCAUAGUUUUUGGAGAAAACGAUGACAUAAAUCUUUGAUUCUUCUAUUGCAGAGAGGAGUACAGGUGAAAUUUCUUGGCCCCUGAGUAAUCUGUAAUCAAUAUAUGCUUGAAUGUUCUUCCUUUGCAGCGCUGCAUAAAGGUGACUAAUGAAGUUGUCACGUGUGUCUUCCCCUCUGAAGCUGAGAAACACAUCAUGCUUUGUUAAAGAAGCAGACAUGGCCAAUGAUGAAGGGUUUCAAUGUUCUCUGCAACUCUCAGAUCCCUUUGUUUGUAAGCAACUUCCAUAUAUUCUAUUAGGAAGGAAAAUAUAUAUUUCUACCAUUCCUACCACAAAUUGAAAAAGCCUUUCAAUUUUCUCAAAAUAUCUUUCACAGCUGUGUUCUGUCAGAUACGAAACAUUGAGUCAAUGGAAGAGUCAACAAUUGGCAGAAUAUUAUGGUGUGUAGCUUUAUACCAUUCUUACAAUAUUUGAUUGGUUGAAUAUAUACAAUAUGACUAAUGAACUUUUUUCUUUUCCGUAUUCCACGAUAAUUCCCUAGGCACCCUAUUAUACACUUUCUUAUCAACGGAAACCAUGUCUGUCCUUUUAUAGUUUUAAUCCUAUAAUAUCUUUCCAUUAAUCAUCAUUAUCACUCUUCAACCUUCAUAUCAAGUGUAUUGAUUUCAUACUUCAUCAGCUAGACAUAAUAAAAUCUCAAUAAUCUUUUAUACUGUCAACAUUUAUAAAAAAUAUUUCCUUCAAUAAUAUUUGUACUUUCUAGCAUAUAGAAUACUUAAUGGAUUCUUCUGUGAUUUUUCUUUCCUAAAGUACAAUUGAUAUUUUAACAGAUGCCGAAAGGUCUUGAAUAUGAGGCUGUUUCGAAAUGAAAAUUGGGGUAAAGCAUUUUCAAGUUAACAAGUUUUGUUGGGUGAGUGAGUGAUCAGUGCUAGCAUUUUCAAUCUCAGUUAUAGAAUGUAAAGAUUUACACAUUUAUUUGCUGAUUAAUAAUUUAUUUAUUGAAUUAAAUGUUUUAACAGUGAGUAUGGAUUCUUGAAUGAAUGUAAUCAUGGUGUAGAAUGUACAUAGUACAUAUAGUGAGUUGGAUUGAAAUGUUGAACACGUUUUCCUCUGCAAAGAUUCAGGAUAUUUAUGAACUUGCUAUAAAUUGUUUUAACUUUUCUCUGCAACUCUCAGUCCCUUUGUUUCUACCAUUUUGUUUUUGAAAAGCCUUUCAAUUUUCUCAAAAUAUCUUUCACUGCUGUGUUCUGUCAGAUACGAAACAUUGAGUCAAUGGAAGAGUCAACAAUUCGUAGAAUAUUAUAUUAUGGUGUCAAUAUUUAAUAAAUUUAUUUAUUUCUUUAACAUAUUUUAGAAAAUAACCAGUAAACAUAAAACUUUUAGUAUGACUAAAAGAAUAAAGAUAGUGUAAGAAUAACAGGAAUAACAUUACUACAAAUAACAAUAUAUUAAUAUUAAUAUGUUUCUUAAUAAAUUUUACACCCACUGUCUAUUUAUAAAUUAAUAUAUUAUAAACAUCUAUUGAUUUUUUGUGGGUAGCUUAUUUCUGUAACAUUUUAAAUUAAUUUUUUAGAUUUUACAAAACAUUACAUUUUGAUUAUAAUAUUUAGGACUGUGAUGCAAUUUCUGCAAUGAAGGCUGGCAGACUAAGUUUCUCCAAGCCCAAUUAAUACUGGGUUGAAAAUUCUGAGAAGAGGGUGAGUAUGAUGCUGCGGUCAUGAUCUAUGUAUUAAAGUGUUAAGGCAUGGGUUUGGUUGACAGGACAAUACUGGUUUUUCAUUGCUACUACUUAAUAUGAUUCUUUCUUACUGCUAUAUGAAUUUGCUGUCAAAUAGCAGUAAAUAAAAGACUUCAAAUAAAGCAUGUGUUUAUCAUACAUGGACUAAUGCAGCAGUUUUAGUAGAAGGGGCUAAUAUGAUUUUAAUCUAGAACAAGAUGGCUAAACCCAAAGAUGGUGGGAAUAAUAUCCUCAAAUCAAUUGUUUUGGUUUUCAGUGUAAUGUCAUUUGUAAGUAUCAAAAUUUGUUUGUUAUCACAUUGGAAGGUAGUAUCUGUCAUGAAAUUUGUGGAAGACCUUUACCUAUGUUUGCUUUGGGUCUGUUUUACGCCCUCUCGAAUUAAGUAAAUUUUUAAUUGCCAUCAUGAAAUUAGGCUAAAUAUGUGUAGUUUUGAGCACUUUCUUUCUUCCAUUUCAAUUCAUAGUUUCAUACAUAUUCAAUAUCAUGUGGGAAUUAAGUUCUUGCUUUUAAGGUGAAUAACAGUUUGUAUUCUUGCAGAAAACUAUUUUCUAAUGCAUAUAAAUUUCAUUUUCUAUUUUCAGCAUUGGAUUAUGUUAUGUAAUUUUUCCUUUGUAUUAUACAGAGUAGGAUUUUAAUGUUUCUACUGAACAGUGCUAUCUUUUUUCGUCCAUAUUCUGAUUUUGUUCAAUUUUUUUCAGUAUGUGCCACAUGCAGAUCAGAUGUAAGGAAUUUUCUAAAUUUUUUUUCAAGCUUUCUUGUUUGCUUAAAGUUUUCUGUAAGUAUUUAACUGUCUUAAGUUGUUAAUGAGGACUAAGGACUGAAAAAGAGAAUUAGCCAUGACAUGGUGGCAUUAUCCUUCUUCAAAACCAUUAGUUUUUUUUCCUACAAAGAUACAUGUCAAGAAAGCAAACCAGGAACAAAAGUGAUGUUUAUGAUUGCUUUCUCUCUUGUUUACUUGCUUUCUUUUUGUUGGACAAUUGUCUUAAUUGCAUUCACACCUAACCUGCAGUAGUUUCAGUCCCUUUGGGGUUGUCAUAAUUGCAGCCUCAAGAGUGGUGGUGUAGUCCAACAUCAACCAGUGAUAUAGUUCAAAUAUAGCAUAUACAUGAAAGUCGUGUUGAUAAUCAAAGGUUGCUUCAUCUUAACUAAUAACAUGUAAAUGUCAUUUGAAUGGUUAAAAAGGAAUUCACCAGUGUAACACAAAAUGAAUGGAUUGCUUGGUUAUGUGUCAACUGUUGUACUUUUUUUGAGUUGCUUGAAAAUAAUUAAAAUUUGUUUUCAUCUAGAUCUUGGUUUUUUCCUAUGAUCAAAUCUCGAUUUAUUUCUGUGCAGAACUUUCUUGUGGACAUAAAAGGACCAGCUAUAGCAUUUUUACCGGUGCUUGCAUUUGAAGGAGGAACUAGAAGAAAUAUACCUAGGUUUGAGGUGUGUAUAAAUUAUUUUUGAUGUAUUUCGUGAUGUAGAUGUAAAAUAAUGCAAUACUUUGUUUUUAGUUUCAAUGUUACUCUUUAUCUGCAGGUUGGAAACAUAUCUUGAUGAAAUAUAGAAACAUUUUUAUUCAUAAUAUAUAUAUAAGGAUUACACAUUCAUAAUUAUUUCUUUCUGUCGUAGCAUUGUCUACCUCAAAUCACUGCAACUUUCUGUUGUUGGUAUAAAAAUACAAUAUUUUAAUCCCAGUUUUGAUAGCCUCUAUUCUUCAGUGGUUGAGAUAUUUUUUAUAAGAAUUUAGAAGUUCUGAGAUAUUUAUGAUAAGAAUUUCAAGUUCUUUGUUACUAGCAGUUUAAUGGUUAUAUCAUUUUUGUUCUCUGGAAAAUAUCUUAUACAAAAUCGGUACUUAGAUUUGGUAUUUAUAUUGUUCAUAUGUAGAAAUCUAAUACUAGCAAAUUUUGUCUAAUUUAAAAGCAAUUACAUUCUACUCUUUGGAAUAUGUUCUGGCCUGCUUUUAUGAAUUAUUUGAAAAUUUGUAAUUAUAAAAUUUAGUCUUUGAAAUUAUAAAUUUAAUAGAGAAGCAUCCAUACUAAACUUUUAUAUUAUAAAUUGUCAGUUUUAUAUUGAAAACAUAUCCCCUUUAGUAUAAGACUUAAAGGAGAUGUCUUUUGGUAUAAAAACUGAAAUAAAAAAUAUUUUAACUAUAUGGGUCAAAUGGAUGAUUAAACUUAUAAAAUGUACAAUUAAACUUAUAAAUUAUAAUAAACGAUACUUUAAUUUUAAACUAUAUUGAACUUUUAUUAAUGUUCUCGCUUUUCUUUAAAAGCUAUUGAACUCUAUCUAACAAUAACUUAAAAAUGAGAAAUUCAUGAUAAAAUUUCAACACUUGUAAUCUAGAAGUAUUACGAUAAGCCAGAAGAGGAAGAGACUAGUUGACUGGGUAGCUUUCGGCGUUCCUCUUCCUAUCUUCCCCUGUUUCUCCUGAAGAGUGUGCAACAUUGCUUCCACUGAAUUCUUCAAUGUCAUUUUCUGAUGCAGAAUAGUCAACAGCACCACCAUAUUUAUCAUCUUUCUUUUUCGUAUAAAGAGGGCAUAUGCCGCAUUCUUUUAUUCUGAUACCUGAUUUCAACUCUCUCUCAACUGAUUCGUAAUCUGGCCGAUUUGGCCGCAGAAAGGGAUCAUACGGACUGAUCUCAAAAGUGAAGCUGCGAGCAUCACACAGCCUAAGGCUCAUGCCGCUCGCCAUUAGGGACUCCAAGUUAAAUUUCCACACGAAUGUCCCUUCACCAUCCCAUUUGAAAUAGCUAUUUAACACACCCUUAUAUGGAAUGAUCUGUGUGCCAUCAUCAUAUUCAAAUUUUAGGCUGUAACGAAAAGAACCAUAUCCACCUUUAAUAUCUAACACUCCAAAAGCUACACACAAAGCGAAACCAGUGAGCCUAUCAUCGCUGCAGAAACUUAAAUCUUCAUUUAUAGUCACUGAAUGUCCCUUCCCACGAAAAUUGAACCAACCAGGAACUGCACUCCCUGGAAAACAGAACAACACACACCUAUAUGUAUCGUCGAUCAUCCUAAGCCUUGCAUCCUCCUCGAUGUUAGCACGAGCACCUGAAUCCAGUUGUUGAGCAUUGGUGAAAUGAUAUUUGAAGACACCCUCUUUGGAAUUUGACAAGUUUGGAACAAGAGAAUUUGACAUCACUCUUCUAAUGGAUGGGCAAUCCAAUGCCUCGAGUUGUUCUAGAAAUGGUGGAAUCGGUGGAAUGCAUUCAAGCUUUUUGCAGUCGCUUAAAUCAAGUGAUUUCAGGCUUGAAAGAUGAGCAAUGCUCUCAGGAAGGUUCACGAUUCCGCUAUCACGCAGUGACAGUUCCAUUAAUGACGUCAAGCGACCGAUGUGUCUUGGGAUUUCUGUUAAUUUGGCACACCCCGAACAAUCAAGUUUAGAGAGAAGCUUCAUAUUAACAAUGGAGUUUGGAAGUGACUCGAGAUAAGUGCACUCUUGGAGUUCCAGGGAUCGAAGAUUAACCAAAUUGCCAAAUGAGGAAGGCAGUUCUUUAACAGCCGUACAUGUCAAGUCAAUAUGAGCAAAAGUAUGAGCCGGCUUCAUGAUCUCUGGGAAGGUCCUCAGCCUUGAGCAACCACCCAAAUCAAGCUUCCUCAAUUUCAAAUUGAAAAUGGUGCUUGGAAAAGUUUGAAGUGAAUUACAGUAGGUAAGGUGUAACUUGCAUAGUCUGGUGAGGCUUCCAAUGGAAGAUGGAAUAAUCUCAAGAUUCAAGCAACUGUGCGAACUCAGUUGUUGAAGCCCUACCAAACGGCACAAGGAUGAAAACUUAUUUUAUUUUUGCUGUUCAUGCAUAACAUUAACAAAUAUUGACAUGAGAGAUUGUGUUUGUAGGCUUCUAAGCUCACCAACGUGUCCCGUUCUUGAUGCUUUAGGGAAGAAAAUUUCCUUUGAGAUUGCAAAAGGACUCAGGAGAAUUUAGAAGUUCUGAGAUAUUUAUGAUAAGAAUUCAAGUUCUUUGUUACUAGCAGUUUAAUGGUUAUAUCAUUUUUGUUCUCUGGAAAAUAUCUGAUACAAAAUUGGUACUUAGAUUUGGUAUUUAUAUUGUUCAUAUGUAGAAAUCUAAUACUAUAGCAAAUUUUAUCUAAUUUAGAAGCAAUUAUAUUCUACUCUUUGGAAUAUGUUCUGGCCUGCUUUUAUGAUUGUAAUUAUAAAUUUAAUAGAGGAGAUUACCAAACAUCCAUACUAAUUAAACUUUUAUAUUAUAAAUUUUUUCAGUUUUAUAUUGAAAACAUAUCCCUUUAGUAUAAGACUUAAAGGAGAUGUCUUUUGGUAUAAAAACUGAAAUAAAAAAUCUUUUAACUAUAUGGGUCAAAUGGAUGAUUAAACUUAUAAAUGUACAAUUAAACUUAUAAAUUGUAAUAAACGAUACUUUAAUUUUAAACUCUAUUGAACUUUUUUUAAUGUUCUCGCUUUUCUUUUAAAUGCAUUUCACUUGUGUGUUUUGUAUUCAGGCUGAUUUUAACUUUAUUCUCAAAUAUACAAAAUAAUUUUUGGUAAUUAUCUUGUGUCGAUCUUGACUUGUAGUAUCAAUGUGAAAUAUGUAAUAAUUACUUUUCUAUGAUUCAGAGGGAAAAUUAUUCCAACUAGACUUUUACAAAUAUAUUUCAAGUGGUAAUAUGAUUUUAAAAAAAAUAGGAUUCGCCACAAAAAAAAGUUACUGUUCCUAAUUGACAUGGUGCUGUCAAAAUUAUUUAAUUACAAUUUAGAUCUUCACUCUACAUAUAAUUAAUUAAUUACCAAUUAUUUAAAAGACUAGUAAAUUAUAAUUUUAAUCUCUCUACAACUUUCUAAAUUUAGUUAUGAUUCUCUCAAAAAAAUUUCCCUUAAAUAUUAAUUAUAAUUACCUUUAGACAGAAACAUUUCUAAUUUAAACAAGCAAAAAUAAGAAAAAAAAAUAGAUUACAAAAACUAAAUUUGAAUUUUUUUAUAUAACUCCAAAUAUAUUUUAUCCAUAAAUAAAUUCUAUUAAUAUUUCAUUUCUGUUUAAAUAGUUUAUUCAUAUUUGUAAUAUUAUUUUCAAAAAACAAUAAUUGUUUUUUGAAUAAAGGUUUACAAAUUCUAUAAUAAUGUAAAUGAGAAGAGGAGUGAGGGUAAAAAUAUGAGAACCUAUGUGAGGGAAUCUUGUGACAAUUUAGCUGGUGUUCAACUUGUGAGAAGUCUUUCAACUUGGUUUUCAAGUUUUAUAUUCAAUUUCUGUUCCUUCAAAUGUUUCUGAUUUUACAGCUCCUCAGGAUUUUACAGCUCCAUGCACAAACCUAAUACAAUGAUAUGAUAUUCAAUCAGCAUUAAUUAGCAUAAACAGGUACCUUGUUGUAAAACUGGGAAUAUGAGAUUCCAUAGGAUGGAGAAAAGUAUGAAGAGGAAUUACCAAUCACCAUUUACCAAUCAUAAUGCCUUCACUACAAAUGCAACCCAAAUAUGCUAAAGAAGUUAAUGAAACUAUAUAUGAAGAGUUUCAAGAAGAUGCAACUCUGGGACAACAGAGCAACCCAUCUCAUGCUGAACACAAACAUCAAACUACAUCUAACAAUAAUUCAGAAAUCUUAAUCAACAAUUGAGCGAACCCACUCCUAAAAUGCCAUUGAGAAUGUAAAUAAAUCAAAAUACAUUAAAAACGAGAAAUUCUUAAUAAAAAUUCAACGUGUUGAACCUUGUAAUUUAGAAGUAUUAACGAGAAGCCAGUUUAGAUCCUCACCAAUGAAAGACUAUUUUACAGGUUAGCUUCCACUGGAUUCUUCAAUGUGAACAGCACCACCAUAUUUAUCAUCUUUCUUUUUGGAAUAAAGAGGGCAUAUGCCGCAUUCUUUUAUUGUCACAACUGACCACCCAAAGUCAUAAAGAGGACUGAUCUCAAAAGUGAAGCUGCGAGCAUCACACAGCCUAGGGCUUAGGGAUUCUAAGUUAAAUUUCCAGACGAAUGUGUGAUCUUUAUCAACAAAACUGUAUUCACCAUUCCAUUUGAAAUGUCUGUUUAACCUAUCAUUAUUUGGAAUGAUAUGUGUGCCAUCAUCAUCAGAUUCAAAUUUUAGGCUGUAACCAAAAGAACCAUAUCUACCUUUAACAGAAUUCGUAUCUAACACUCCAAAAACCACACACAAAGCGAAACCAGUGAGCCUAUCAUCGCUGCAGAAACUUAAAUCUUCAUUUAUAGUCACUGAAUGUCCCUUCCCACGAAAAUGGAACCAACCAGGAACUGUACUCCCUGGAAAACAGAAGAACACAGACCUAUAUCUAUCAUCGGUCAUCCUAAGCCUUGCAUCCUCCUCAAUGUUAGCACGACCACCUGAAUCCAGUUGUUGAGCAUUGGUGAAACGAAAUUUGAAGACACCCUCUUUGGAAUUUGACAAGUUUUGAACAAGAGAAUUUGGCAUCACUCUUCUAAUGGAUGGGCAAUCCAAUGCCACGAGUUGUUUUAGAAAUGGUGGAAUCUGUGGGAUGCAUUCAAGCUUUUUGCAGUCGCUUAAAUCAAGCGAUUUCAAGCUUGAAAGAUGAGCAAUGCUCUCAGGAAGGUUCACGAUUCCGCUAUCACGCAGUGACAGUUUCACUAAUGACGUCAAGCGACCGAUGUGUCUUGGGAUUUUUGUUAAUUUGGCACACCCCGAACAAUCAAGUUUAGAGAGUAGCUUCAGACUAACAAUGGAGUUUGGAAGUGACUCGAGAUCAGUGCAUUUGCGGAGCUCCAGGGAUCGAAGAUUAACGAAAUUGGCAAAUGAGGAAGGCAGUACUUUAACAGCCGUAUAUGAUAAGUCAAUGCGAGCAAAAGUAGGAGCCCGCUCCGUGAUAUCUGGGAAGGUACUCAGGCUUGAGCAACCACACAAAUCAAGCUUGCUCAAUUUCAAAUUGAAAAUGCUGCUUGGAAAAGUCUGAAGUGAAUUACAGCGGGUGAGGUGUAACUUGCAUAGUCUGGUGAGGCUUCCAAUGGAAGAUGGAAUAAUCUGAAGAUUGAAGCAACUGCGCAAACUCAGUUCUUCAAGCCCUAUCAAACGGCACAAGGAUGAAGGUAGUGCCUGUAUGGCUGUGGCGUCUAAGAUGAGCACCGCUAGAUCUUCCAACGUGUCCUGAAUCUCGGGUAAAUUUUCCAAUUUUGAGCAACCACGGAGAGAAAGUUGAUUUAUGAAUUUCAUAUCAGAAAGGUCAAUUGGAAAGAUUGUAAGAGAAGAACAGUGAGAGAGAUCUAUGUGAGAGAGCUUCUUGCCACUAAAUUGUAAGGGCACACCUUCGUAGUCUUCUGAGUAUUCUGAGUCUGUAGCAUUAUUAGCAUUUAUCUCUUUCAUCAUAUCCGGUUCCUGACGCUCCAGUAUGACAUGAGGGAGAAAUUUAUCUUCAUGUUCACCCAAUGAAAACAUAUUAAGCUUCUCACAACCGGAAACACUAAUCCAUCCUGGUGAUGUGGAUAAAAUGUUGCUGGGAAUAUUUACACUUUUGAGAUUAGAACAAUGAUCUAAACAUAAACAACUGAGCUUGGUGAGGAAUAUCGAAGAGUGAACUUCAAUCAACUUUGAACAAUAACUCAGCUUUAUUUCUUCAAUAUUCGGUGACAGAGAAAGGUCUGGUAUUCUAGUAAGUUCCCAAGAUUUAACCAGGUCGAGCCUUUUCAAGUUGGGUAAAUUCUGCCAGAAAUAGUAAAUGAAUGAGGUAACAAAUAAAAACUACUUUAUCUAUUUUUCUUCCUAUUUAAACUAUUAGCUACUAUCUAUUGAGUUUAUAUUUUACAUUACUUAAAAACCACUGUUAAAAAAACCACACUGUGGACUAACAAAACUCUGCCUAUAAAUUUUAUAGUUAUUAUAAAAAAUCACAAAAUUUAACGUCUUUUUGUUCCCUACCUAAAAUUACAUCCUAAUCAUUUGAACCUAAACUUAUUAUGUAUUCAAAAACUUAUGAUAGUAAUUUAUAAUCGAUCACAAUGUCAAAAUACUUUAUAUUAUACAUGUAUCAACUCACAAAAUAAAUGGUGUUGUCUCAGAUUUAAAAUUAAACCUUAGUUAAAAAGUCCAUCUUUCCAUAAUUUAUUUUAUUAAAUACAUAAUUUGUAAUUUAUUGUAUAUUAUAUUCAAGUUUAUGUUAUGAUAAAAAAAGUAUCUAAGGCAUUUUUAAUUAAAUAAUAUAAAAUAAACAACAUGAACUCAAUUAAAUAAUAUAAAUUUUUUUGAAUACUCGAUGGAAUAAAAAAAUUAAUAAAACCCUCAAUUUGAAAAUAACCAAAUUUAUAAGAUACUUAAAACUUAAUUAAACCUACAAAUUUUCAUUAUAUGGAAUUAAAUAUUGUAAAGAUUUACCACAUAAGUUUCAUAAGUAGAAGGUUUAAACAUAAAAUUCUUCACGUUGGGAGUUUCUUUCCUCUAUCUUAUAAGUUUUCGUUGUUUCUUUAAUAUUUUUUAUAUGGCUUCUGUCAAUGUAAUUUUUUUUUUGGUUUUAAAAUAUUAUUAAAGAUAAAAUAUGAAGACAGGGUAAUUAAAUUAAAUAUAAUUUUUAUUUUUCAGAAAUGAUGAAAAUUAUAAUUAAAUUAACUAAAUUAUAUAAAAUUCCAUUUUAUUUACAUAACUCAUUUUCAUAUUAAAAAACUAUAUAAGAUCUUCCAAAGUAGAUAUAAUACAUUCACGGGCCAUUAGAUGAUAUGCCUAAAAAAAUAUGCAAACUAUUAAAUUUAUAAUUAUCUUUAAUUAGAAACAUGCUGAGUAUGACUCAAAUAAAAGAAAUUUCAAAUCGAAUAAUGUCGAGAAGGCACAAAGGAAUUGCAAAUGAAAACUUGUAUAUGUAUAAUACAGAAAACAUGCUUGUAUAAUUUAUUUUUAUCUUUGAAAGUUUAGAACACAAAGGAACAUAGAUAGCUUGAAAAACCUGAUCUCCUUCCCAGAGUUGUUCAAGAUGGCAGAAUGGCAUUUCGAGGGUCACUAGAUUUUGUGGGCAAAAGUUUGGAGGCCAAAAUCUUUGAGGGAAAUGUGUCCAAUAAAGAAUCUUUAGAGUGUCUGGCAUAUCCACAAGAGGUGAUUCAAAAGACACUUUUAAUUCCAAUCCCCACGUGUAGAGCCUAAGCACCCUAAGAUUGUUCAUCUUUUCGAAACUUUGUGCAUGUACUACAACUUCUUUUACUUUGAAAGUAGAUAGUGAUAUACACUCUAUUGAAGUAGAUAGUGAUAUACACUCUAUUGCAUCUGACCCCUGAAAGUAAAUCAUGAAAUGUUGCAUUGCAGGAUGUUUGAUGACAGCUCAGUGGUUUGCAAUUUUUCACAAAGUAAAUCCAUUCUCAAUUGAGUAACGACAUAAUACCUUGUUCUUUCUUAAAACCUCUCAAAUUUCCUCAGCAUUAAACAAUCGGCUGCGUUUUCCAGGAUGCUGAGGACACUCUUUACGAACAAUUUCUUUACCCAUUUCUUGUAUUAGAUCGUGCAUCACAAUUCUACCAUGAAAGACAGAUAUUAGGCCCCUAUCUUUGAGAAUAUCCAUUCCAAUCUUGGAAGAGAAACCACAGUCAGCAAGUAUUUCUGCUACCACAAUCUCUUGUGACCUAUAUAAAAGCAAGCUAUGUCAAGAAAUAUAUUCUUCUCCUCCUCCUCGAGCCCAUCAUAACUUAAUUUUAAUACAUUGAAAAUACCAAGAUGUUGGCCCUUUUCCAACUUUUGCAACUGACUCUCCCAUGCUUCUCUUGUUCUUCCAUAAAGCAAUGACCCCAAAAUCUGGAGAGCUAAUGGAAUCCCUUUUGCAUAUCUCAACACCUUUUCUGACAGUUCCCUGUAAGCAAUUUCUUCUGAAGAUUUUUGUUUAAAAGCAAGUAAACUAAAAAGUUUCUGAGAAUCAUCAAAAUUCAACUCCUUAACUUCGUAGAUAUCAUCAGCUCUAGCAUUCUUAAGCACUUGUUUGUCUCUACUGGUGAUAAUGAUUCUACUGCCCUGCCCAAAACUAUCACUCCCUCUUAUUAAUUUUUGAAGUUGAGCUGAAUCGGUAACAUCAGUUAGAAGUGGAACACGUUUGUAGAAGUGGAACACGUUAGUUGGUUAGUUGCCUUAAGAAGCGGAUCAUGUAUUUUUUCUUGAACGUCUAAAACAAGGCUGCUGGAAUCAAACUGCAAUUCCAAUUUGUGAUAUAUUUGAUCACAAAUUGUAGUUUUUCCUAUUCCUCCCAUGCCACAAAUGCCUAUGAUCCGAACAUCCGGUAAGUCAAGAUGCAACAAGGACUGAAUUCCUUCAAUAUUUUUUUCAAUGCCGAUGAUUCCUUGAUCAUAACUGAUGGAAUAACGAUUCAAUUUUCUCAAAAUAUCUCCCACAAUUCCUUCAACAAGUGUGUGUUCUGACCUGGCAGAUGAUUUAGAAAAUAAAGUAUAAGUAUUCAUGCACAAAAGCUAAAACAAAACUAAAGAAAAAUUCAGAGUCAAGAAGAGUGAACAUCAUUGAAUAGAUUCACAUAUUGAUUGUAGGACGUUAUCUUCGAAUAUUAGUGUGGUUGGUUUAGAAAUUGCAAAUCAAGAUCGCAGAAAUUCUACAGUAACCGGUAGUGACUUCUGAUACUAGGAAGCAGUCUUGUAGGUACAAAGUUAAGCUAUAAGAUGUGAUAUGGUUCAGAUCUAUGACCCACUACGAAAAAUGGAAAAAAGAAACACUUGAUUUAUGGUGAGAUGAACACAAUUUUAGUAAAUGAAAAGAGAUCCUGAUUAUCUAAUAAAUAUAAUGACCUGGUGACUUUUGAAUCCCAGCCUGAAAGUCCAGCAGCUUCGGUGAGAGCAUCCUUCCAUCCUUGCACUUUGUCGUGCUUAAAGUGCUGCUCAUGCUCAUCGAAUGCUUCUUUGUAUCUUUCUUCCUGCUUCCUAAUAGUUGACGGAUCCACCUUGUAGAAAACAGGUAUGACAUCCCUUCCAUAUCUCUUCUUGCAAUCAAGUAUCUUAGUGAGUUCAUUCAAGCACCAAGUGGAAGAUGCAUAGUUUUGGGAGAAAACGACGAUAUAAAUCUUCGAUUCUUCUAUUGCAGAGAGCAGUGCAGAUGAAAUUUCUUCGCCCCGGGGUAGUGUCUCAUCAAUAUAUGCUUCUAUGUUCUUCCUUUGCAGUGCUGGAUGAAGGUGGCUAAUGAAGUUGUCACGUGUGUCUUCCCCUCUGAAGCUGAGAAACACAUCAUGCUUUGUUAGAGAAGUGGACACGGGGAAUGAUGAAGAACUUCCUGUUUAAUUUCUUCGCCCCUGUUUAAUCUGUAAUCAAUAUAUGCUUCAAUGUUCUUCCUCUGCAGCGCUGCAUAAAGGUGACUAAUGAAGUUGUCACGUGUGUCUUCCCCUCUGAAGCUGAGAAACACAUCAUGCUUGGUUAGAGAAGCAGACAUGGCCAAUGAUGAAGGGUUUCAAUUUUCUCUGCAACUCUCAGAUCCCUUUGUUUGUAAGCAACUUGCAUAUAUUCUAUUUCUAUCACAAAUCAACUUUUGGAAAAGCCUUCAAUUCAAAAUAUGCUUCACAGCUUUAUAUUAACGUGCCUAGCUUUAUACCAUUCUUACGCAUUGGUAAAGAUUCUUCAAUAUCUUUACUCAAUUUGUUUCUUCAAUACCUUUUACACAUUCUUACGCAUUGGUAAAGAUUCUUCAAUAUCUUUACUCAAUUUGUUUCUUCAAUACCUUUUACAUAUAAAGAAUCGGAUUUGUUUAAUAUAUUUUAGAAAAUAACCAGUAAACAGAAAACUAGGUUAAUAUGACUAAAUGAAUAAAGAUAGUACUCAUAAAAAAUAUUUUAGAUUACAAGUGGUAUAACUAAAAUAAAAUAUUUUAUUUUUAAAAUAAAAUUUAUAAAUAAAUAAAAAAAUAUAAUUGUUUAGUUUUCGGUGUAAAACAAUAUUCAUUUUUAUAAAAAAAAAUCUUUUCUCUUUUAUUUUAUUUUUAUAUUUCUAAUUAGAGUAUUCUUGAGUUUGACAAUAGAAUCCUUUCUUUGGACUUUUGGAAUUAAAUAAAGAUGUUAAUUGAAAAAAAAAAUUGAAAUAGAAACUAAUUUAGAAACCAAAUUUCUUUUUAGUUUCUAAAAUGGUCUCUAAUUUAGUUACUAUUGCAACUAAUUGUUUUGGUUUCUAGAAAUUGGUUUCUAUUUCAUGAUUUUCUUGUAGUGUAUACUGAAGGUGUGCACCCCUAUGAAAUGUUUUUAUUUCUAGUUGAUGUGUGAUUUCCAAUAAUUAUAUAAAUUGAUUGUUAUAUGCAGUGUGAAGUUUAACCUUGAUUUUUACUUGAAAAAAUGGAUUUUAAUAUGAGGUAUGCAUGCUCUCAUACUCAAAUUCAAUAAGCGGAAUUUUCACAUGUCAAUAGAAUUUGAACCUGCAUAGUUUUGGGCACUCUCCACCUCAAAUUCGCUCAAUGUUUUUUCCUGCGUUUAAGCGAAAUUACAUGCAGAUUUUGGAGUACUUUCGGGCUUAAAAUUGCUCAAAGAAAUUUCCCUAUGGCAAGCAAAUUUAAGCUACAAUUGUUUGGGUGUUCUUUGCCUCAAAUUCGUUGCCUCAAAUUCGUUCAGCGAAGAUUUCUCUGGGCUUAAGCCCCAACUUCAUGGGCUCGAGCCAUUUUGACAACAUUUGUCAUCUUUGCUUAGAUAUCUUUUGGUUUGUUUUCUAUAGGUCAUGAAAUUGAAUUAAAUCUUUUGAAAUUUAACAUGUGUUUAAAAUAAGUAAAUCUAACAUUUAUAAUCAUGCAACAUGUGUUUAAUUUAUAAAAAAAAUAUAAAACAAAUACUCAUUAUAUAUUCAAUUGAUAUGUAAAAUUUUAAAUAUUAUGUGAUUAUUGUUGAUAUUUUGUAACGGUUUUAAAAAUAUAAACUUCUAUAUGAUUGAAUGAUAUAUUAUCGAUACAUAGUAAUUUCAAGUAAGGAAAUACUUUGUUAAGGAUAGUUAGGAUGUGUCUUGAUUAGUAAUACAUUUAGAAUAAGAUAUUUGACUCUAUUCACAUAUUAAGGUGGUGACAGUCAAAUGAGAUUUAUAUGAUUUGAUCUACAAUAUAAAAAAUCAUAAUCUAACAUGCCAUAUGAAUUAACCUUGUCAUAUUAGGUGAUUCUAUUAUGAUAUUCUUAUUCGCAUAGAUGUGUGAAUUUCACAAUGGGGUAUUAUAACAUGUGCAAAUUUUUUAGUCUAAAUCAAUGUACGAUUCUUUCAGAAAUAGGGUCAAGUGUACAUGUGGAUCUAAUUAGAUUUUUGACAUGAGUAAUAUGGAACACAAGUCAUUUAGAGACACUUAAUUGUUUAAUAUAUUAGGAAUGAAUGAAGUGUGAUUAUUCAUAUGAUUAUGAUUGAAUGAUUCAAAUAUAAAUUUUAAAAAUCAUUAACUUAGCCUAAUUUCUUGUUAGUAUCAUUUUUUUGUUAGUAUCGUUUUUUUUUUAGAUUUGUUAUGAUCGUGAGUUACAUGUGAACAUAUGAUGUUGUAUGUUAUAGGCCUCAAAAUUGAAAAUGAGAGAGUUUUUUCUUUUAAUUCUUUUGAUGUUUUAUUUUGAUGUAUAUAUUUGAUUAUGAUAUAAUAAUAUUACAAUGUAAAUGUUAUUUAUAUACUAUCACAUGGUAAAUUAAAAUUUAAUAAGGUAGUUAAGGAUGUUAUAAUUAUUCUUUUAAUUUAUUUUAUUUCACUGUAUAUUUAGGUGUAUUACGUAAAAUGUAUAGUUAAAAAAAAUAAUGUUAUUUUGAAAUUUAAGCUUUUGUUAAAAUUAUACCAUUUGAAAAGGAACACAGAACAAUCUUGACAAUUAUACUGACUUAGUACUUAUUUUAAUUUAUUAUAUUCAUGAGUAUUAUUUUUUUCUUAAACAUAAAUAUUGGAUAAAAAAUAUAAAUAACAUUUAUUUAUUUCAAAUUUAAAAAUCUUUAAAAUAAAUAUAAAUAAUAUUUUUAAUCAAGAUGUGUUUUUUAACAAUUUUUUUUAAUUUAAAAAUAAUUAAUUCGGACGAUGAUUAAAGAAAUAUUAACAAAUUAUUUCUGCGAUUAUAAUAAACCUUCAAUAAUUUUUGCACUUUCUAGCAUAUAGAAUAUGGAUCCUUUUGUGAUUUUUCUUUUCUAAAGUACAAUUGAUAUUUUAAAUGUUUUUCUAUUUAAUUUUCCUUUCUUAAUGCACAUAAAAAUUUCAGUGCACAAUUAUUACUCACCUUAAUUCAAAAUGGAAAUUAAAAUUCAAGAACCCUACUUAUAUAUUAAUAUUCAACGAUUUAAAAUAUUAGUAUGCAAAUUAAUCUUUCUUAAUAAUAUUUGUAACAAUUUUUAAUAAUUCAAUGUGAAAUAUGUAAUAAUUACUUUUCUAUGAUUCAGAGGGAAAAUUAUUCCAACUAGACUUUUACAAAUAUAUUUCAAGUGGUAAUAUGAUUUUAAACAAAAAUAGUAUUCUCCACAAAAAUAAAUAGUUACUGUUCCUAAUUAAACAAGUCACAUUCUUGAACAAAAUAUCAAAUAACAAGGAAUUAGACUAUGAAAUGAUGACCAAUUAUAUUAAACAACAUAACAUACAUUUCUCAAUGUACACAAGGUAUAAAUAAUACAAUAUCAUCCAAAACCUGUGUUCACUAUGUAAAUAAACCAUUUUUUUUGCCAUUACCUCUUUCAUGAUGAUGAUUUGUUUACUAGGGAUUGCAAUGAUAGGUCAUGAUCAAAACUUAGGCCUAAGACUAAAAAUAGAAUGAAAUGAGCAUGAAAAUAAAGAUAACUUUUGAGUGAGACACAUUCUUCCUUACAAGCAGCAAGUUCUUCCAGGUUAUCUUCUCUUCCUUCAACCGUAGCUGUGCAACCGCCUGUUGUUCAUUGCCACCAAUAUCUCUAGUGCCAAAACUAUGUUUUCCAAAAUUAGAGUUAUAUGGCUUUAUCUGUGAAGUCUUACCAGCCAUAAUGUUUUAUUUUACUGUUUUGUUGUAAUCAUGCCAAUAGAUAAAUCGUGGAUUUGUAAACCACGAAACACCAUUGAGUAUGCAAAUGGGUUGAAUGUGUUUUUGGAUAUUGCAUUUCAACAUGCUAAUGGUCCUGUAAUUAAGUGUCCAUGUGCAAAGUGUGGUUUCAAAAAGUGACAAACAAGGGAUGUAAUCCAAGAACACUUAACAUUUACAACUUUCCCUCAGAACUACAAAACUUGGUAUUUGCACGGUGAAAGACCAAGUGUAAUUGAGCCUAUGGUCACUACAAGUGUGCAUGUCAUUGAAGAUUUAUUUGAAUCUCAAAAUACAAUGGAAGACAUGUUGAAUGAUGCAUUCGAGUUUGCGGGACAUGAUGAGGAUACUGAAGUUGAUGGUUUGCAAACUAAUAUGGUGGGUGAUGAAGGAAUAUGAACUUUGAUGAAUUGAUGAGGGACAAUAAUGAACCCUUAUAUGAAGGUUGUACAAAGCAUUCGAAGUUAUCAUUCAUGUUGAAGUUGUACCAUAUCAAAUGCAUGAGUAGAAUGAGUGACAAAGCAAUGACCAUGAUUCUAGACUUGCUAAUGAACACAUUUGAACAUGCUAAGUUUCCUAACUUGUUUUAUGAGGCGAAGACUGUGAUUACCAAACUUGGACUUAAUUAUGUCAAAAUACCAGCUUGCCCAAAAGACUGAAUGCUAUAUUGGGGCGAAGACAAUGAAGGCUUAGAAGAAUGUAAACGGUUCAAAACGUCUAAGUGCAAAAAAAAAAAAAGAUAAGAAGCAAUUGCAUUACUUUCCAUUAAAACUGUGAUUGCAAAGAUUGUUUAUGAGUUCUAAGAUGAUUGAGUCUAUGACAAGGCAUGCAUCAAAGGAUAAUCAAGAUGGAUUGAUGAGGCAUCCUAGAGAUUCUGAGGCUUGCAAAUCAUUUUAUUGCAUCCAGAAUUUGUAAAUGACCAUUGAAAUGUACGAUUAGACUUAGCUGCUUAUGGCUUUAAUCCUUAUGAAAACAUGAGUAAAAACCAUAGUAUAUGACGAGUGGUUAUCAUCCCAACAAUCACCCUCCUUGGGAGUUAUGAAGCAAACAUCUUUUAUCCUCUACAUGAUAAUUUCUGGAAAACAAAUGGUAGAAAAUGACAUUGAUGUUUAUUUAAAACCACUUAUAAGCAAAUUGAAGGAGUUAAUAGUAUGAUCAUGUAAUUAUUAUUUAUAUACUAAAUAUUACGACAUAUAGUAAUUUAAAAUUUGAUAAGGUAGAUGAGGAUAUUAAAAUAUCUCUUUUAAUUUAUUUUAUUUUAUUGUAUAUUUAGGUGUAUUAUGUAAAAUAUAUAAUUAAAAAAAAUAAUGUUAUUUUAAAAUUUAAAGAAUCACGUAUAGAAAGAAACAUAUAACAAUCUUGACAAUUAUAUUCUGACUUAGAGAUACUUAUCUUAAUUUAUUAUAUUCAUGAGUAUUAUUUUUUUCUUAAACAUAGAUAUUGGAUAAAAAAUAUUAAUAAUAUUUAUUAUUUAAAUUUUAGAAAUAUUUAAAAUUAAAAUUAAAAUUAAAUAAUAUUUUUAAUUAAAAUAUGAAAAAAAUUCCUUAACAAUUUUUUUAAUUUCAAAAUAAUUAAUUCAGAGGAUGAUUGAAAAAAUAUUAACAAAUCAUUUCUGCGUUUAUAAUAAACCUUCAAUAAUAUUUGUACUUUCUAUCAUAUAGAAUACUUAAUGGAUCCUUUUGUGAUUUUUCUUUUCUAAAGUACAGUUGAUAUUUUAAAUGUUUUUCUAUUUAAUUUUCAUUUCUCAAUGACAAAUAAAAUGGUUCAGUGCACAAUUAAUUAUUCUCACCUUAGAUUUCAUUCAUCUCAUUCCAUUUCCACACUCAAAUCAUUCUCACAUUUUUUUCUACCUAUUUCACAAAGUUUUUGUUAAAAUAUGGAAAUUAAAGUUCAAGAACCCUACUUAUAUUUCAUAUUCAACAAUUUAAAAUAUUAAUAUGCAAAUUAAUAUUUCUUAAUAAUGUUAUUUUUAUGUAAAAAUUAAAAUGUAGUUUAGUCAUUCAUACUUAGAUGGAUAAAAAUGGUUUUAGAAAGAAAAAAAUAUGCAUUUUUUUGAAAGGUUAUCUAAACUCUAAACUCAUUGAUGAAUUAAUAAUAAUAAAUAAUAUGGAAUUCUAUACGAAUAGCAUAUAAAUGUUUUCUUGUUGAAACUGAUAAUUAAUUCAGUCUAGGGACAAUUAUCGCGGUAUUUGUUCUUUUAUUUUUAAUGUUUAAACAAUUAUAAAAUUCUGUUUUUAGAUAUUAAAAUGAUAGUUUUCAUUUACAGAUUAAAAUAUUACUUGUUUCUUUUAAGAUUUUUUGUAUUAUAAUUAUUUGUUGUCUGAAUUGUUUUGAUUUAACAUGUUGUUUUCUUGGGCUAUGAUAUUGUGAGGUUUUAUUACAUGCAGGUACGUGAAUAUUUUUUUUAUCCUAGUUGUAUAAAUCAGGAAAAUUGUUUUUCACAUUAUAAUAACCGUUUAACAACUCUAAAUAAUAAUAAAAUAUUAACUCAUAUUGUUUAAUUAAAGUAUAAAUUAAAUUAUUAAAUAAAAAAGUAGUAAAACUGGUUGCAGGAUGGGAAUAUGAUUAUUUUUAACUGCUAGCUCCUGAUUAUUCUUUUCUAAUAAAAAAAACACCAAUAGCAACAAAACAAGUUUUGACACACGUAGGUUUGGCAAUUGUUUUAAUAGCUGAAAAUAGUACAACAAUUUUUAAUUACCACAAACUGCAUCUUAAAUCAUAAAAAAUUAGCAUUUUGUUAGUUCAUAUAUAAUAAAAUUUCCAUAAAACAGCCAAUUGUAUUAAUUAUUAAUAAUGUAUUUACAAUUUUUUUAGAUAAUUUUUUUACUAUAAAGACAUUUAUUUGAGAUUGAAAUUGUAAUUAACACUUUUUGGUCAAAGAAUAAUAUAUUUCACUUGAUUUUUUGUAUUAAAUAUUUUGUAUAGCGCUGAGACAAAAAAAAAUCUCAUAUAAAUCCCUAUGUGCUACAAGUACAAUAUAACAUCCUUAAUGUAAGCAAUAAAAAUGAUGAAUACUCAAAGUCGUGUAAUUACGCAAAAGAAUCAAGUGAUUUUUAAAAGAACUCACAUGAUCAGUUUAAAUUUUGACGAUAAAAUACAUUAAUUAUAUAUAUUUAUUCAAAAUUUCAAUUAUAUUAUGCAUUAAUGGUUUUAUGCUUUUAGAGGAAUCAGAGAAACUUAGAAAAGCUCCUAAAAACUAAUGUAACCCUAUGAAUAGAAGAGAGCUAAAAGAAAGAGAAAAUGGAAGUGAGAAAAGAUGAUAAUUAAUAAACACGCUCUCUUCAUAACAUAGAGUCUUUAAACCUAUAUUCCCUCAAACAAUUAUAAAGAAUUAACAAUCACACUUUUAUAAGUCAUCACCCACAUGAAACAAAACAAGGUGCCUCAAUAUGAAUAAACCAAGAUUAAUAAGAAAUAUGAGGUUUCACUAACCAAGCUCAGAAUUUUCUGCUUUUAUAGCUCCAUGCACAAACCUAAUACAAUGAUAUGAUAUUCACUGCAAAUGCAACCCAAAUAUGCUAAAGAAGUUAAUGAAACCCAAAUAUAAAGAAUUUGAAGAGAAUGCAACUCUGGGACAACAGAGCACACCAUCUCAUGCUGAACAGAAACAUCAAACUAUAUCUAACAAUAACUAUACCUAUGUUUGCUUUGGGUCUGUUUUUAGUUUCAAUGUUACUCUUUAUCUGCAGGUUGGGAACAUAUCUUGAUGAAAUAUAGAAACAUUUUUAUUCAUAAUAUAUAUAAGGAUUACACAUUCAUAAUUAUUUCUUUCUGUCGUAGCAUUGUCUACCUCAAAUCACUGCAACUUUCUGUUGUUGGUAUUUGCAUAUCACGAUGGUUAUUGAGAAAUUUAGGAGUUUGCUGUUGUGUACCAGAAGUAAAAUAGAAGGUUCAUUUUUUGGUCAUCAUCAAUUAUUAAUGUAAAUAGAUAUAGGUGAAGGAGAUCAGUAUUAUGCAUUGUAUCAUGGACCAUUAGAAGACUAGGGUCACCAAUUGGAGGCAUUGGUAACUUUGGCUAGUAAAACUAAAACCAAAGUCCAUUUUUACAAAGCCUUGGUCUAAUUCACCUUAUAGCUGUACUUUUUCCUCCAUUUUAAUAAUAUUAAGUUUUCAUUUUCUAUGCAUAAUCUUGGGUAAUUUUCUUUUUAUAUCAAUGCUUGAAGUGUCAAAUUGUUACAAGCUGGAUUAUUAAGAAAGAAAAGAGUGCAUUCUGGAUGCUCGAAAGGGAGUGUUUCCUAGAAAAAAAAUGUGAUUUCAGGGUGUCCAGGCUCAGGUAGCAAUGGUAGGAGUUCCACAUUGAAAUGGAUGAACUACUUGAUUUAGUACUUUGGGACUCUCUCACCUAAUGGACUAGUAUUUUGGGUUAGCUUCUCUCCCCUUAAUGCUUAAGUCCUAAAAAACAGUUUUUCUGUUUCUAUUUAUCUUUUAGGGUGUGAUUAGGACCAUGAAGCAGUGGGUGUUUUUUCCAUUAAUGAACUUUGCCACUGCCACAGAUCACCUAGGUUAACCUAAUUAAGUCUUCUGAAUUGUAUUUUGUAAUUAAUUCUUGUAAAACAUGGAGUGUAAAAUUCAUGUACAUUUUUCUUUUCCUCUUUUGAUUUGGAUGUCAAACUAGCAACUUCAUGUUUUGUCUGGUUGGUCUAUCACAUUUAUGUAGGUUGUAAUCUAUUUUGCCUAAUGCAUCAGUUGCAGAUAGGUACUAAAUUAUCUUAGUUCGGAUACACCUUGCCAAUUAGAUUAAGAUCAAGAAUUUAAAGUGAAUGGUUCACUUCUGAGUUCUUAAAUGAGAUAAAAUGUUCAGAGAUACUAAAUCAUCGCCUUCAUUUGAAAAUUGGCGUGCCUAUUAUGCUUUUGAGAAAUAUUGAUCAAACCAACGGUCUUUGUAAUGGAACAAGGUUGCAAGUUAUUGAUUUGAAGAAAAUGUUAUUUGUGCAAUAGUUCUAACAGGAACAAAUAUUGGUGAUAAAAUCUUCAUUUCAAGAAUGAAUUUGAUCCCUUUAGAUGUAGGUAUGCCAUUCAAAUUCCAGAGAAGACAAUUUCCAAUAGCUUUAUGUUUUGCAAUGACAAUUAAGAAAAGCCAAGGUCAAUUAUUGACCAAAGUUGGUUUAUAUUUUUCACAUCCAAUUUUCACACAUCGAUAGUUGUAUGUAGCUAUUUAUAGAGUUCGAAAGAAAAAAGAUUUAAAAAUUCUAACUCUUGAUGAAGAUGGAAUGCAACAAACAAGAAAAAGAAAAUGUUUACACUGAAAUUUUUGACAAUAUUUGAAAACAAUAGAAUUAUAUGAUAAACUUGGAAUGGCUAAUUCUCCCUGCAACCAAUAUUUUUGAACCUGCAACUUUUAAAUUUUUGAAAAUGCUCUUUAUUCCAGAAAUGAAAAUAAUACAUUACAAAAAAAAUAGAUCCAAAAAAGAUUAUUGUGUUUUGGUAAUAAAAAUCGGAAAACAAAAAUCAAAAGCCCAUUAUGAAUAAGAAAAUUCGUAAUACAAAAAAUUUGGUCUUAAAAACAAAAUCUGAAAACAUAUUCCAGAAAGAAAAUCCGAAAUGUAUUUUUAUAUAUAACCCAUUUUUUCAAGGGAGUUUCGUCUUUUCUAUUGUAAAAGGGGUUGGAAUUUGCUCCCUUGGAAUUAUAGUUUCUUAUGUGUGAUGUAGUAACAGUUGCCUUAUUUAAAAUGUUACUAAAUAACAUAUAAUUUAUAUCUGUUAUUUUUAUUCUGUUAUGACUUUAUAUAUUUGUCACAACAUGAAUGAGGCACAAACCCAUCUCAUGUUAACGAAGUUGAGAAUUUUCUGAUUUUACAGGUCCAUGCAAAAAUCUAAUAUAAUGAUAUGAUAUUCAAUAUCAAGAGGUACUUGUCGUAAAACGGGGAAUAUGAGAGACUCCAUAGAAUGAAGAAAAAGUAUAAAGAGGAUUUACAAAUUAACCUUUCAAAUGCAGCUCCUCAGAAUUUCAUAAUGCCUUCACUGCAAAUGCAACCCAAAUAUGCUAAAGAAGUUAAUCAAACAAUACAUGAGGAGUUUCAAGAAAAUGCAACUCUGGAACAACAGAGCAACCCAUCUCAUGCUGAACAGAAACAUCAAACUAUAUCUAACUUAGAAAUCUUUGUCAACAAUUGAACGAACCCACUCCUUAAAUACCAUUGAAAAUGUAAAUAAAACAAAAUAAAUUAAAAACGAGAAAUUCAUAAUAAAAAUUAAACGUGUUGAACCCUGUAAUUUAGAAGUAUUAACGAUAAGGCAGUUUAGAUCCUCACCAAUGAAAGAGACUAGCUGACUAGGUAGCUUUCGGCCUUCCUCUUCCUAUCUUCCCUUGUUUCUCUUGAAGACUCUGCAAUAUUGCUUCCAUUGGAUUGUUCAAAGUCAACAGCACCACCAUAUUUAUCAUCUUUCUUUUUCGUAUAAAGAGGGCAUAUGCCGCAUUCCUUUAUUGUGAUACCUGAUUUCAACCGAAAGUGAUAAUCACACGGACUGAUAAGUGAAGCUGCGAGCAUCACAGAUUCUAAGGCUCAUGCCGCUCGCCCUUAGGAACUCCAAGUUAAAUUUCCACACGAAUGUGUGAUCUUGAUCAACACAUCUCUCUUCACCAUUCGAAAUAGCUGUUUAACACAUCUAUCAUCGCUGCAGAAACUUAAAUCUUCAUUUAUAGUCACUGAAUGUCCCUUCCCACGAAAAUGGAACCAACCAGGAACUGCAGUCCCUGGAAAACAGAAGAACACAGACCUAUAUCUAUCGUCGGUCAUCCUAAGCCUUGCAUCCUCCUCAAUGUUAGCACGACCACCUGAAUCCAGUUGCUGAGCAUUGGUGAAAUGAAAUUUGAAUACACCCUCUUUGGAAUUUGAGAGGUUUCGAACAAGAGAAUUUGGCAUCACUCUUCUAAUGGAUGGGCAAUCCAAUGCCACGAGUUGCUUUAGAAAUGGUGGAAUCUGUGGGAUGCAUUCAAGCUUUUUGCAGUCGCUUAAAUCAAGCGAUUUCAAGCUUGAAAGAUGAGCAAUGCUCUCAGGAAGGUUCACGAUUCCGCUAUCACGCAGUGAUAGUUCCAUUAAUAACGUCAAACGACCAAUGUGUCUUGGGAUUUCUGUUAAUUUGGAGCACCCCGAACAAUUUAGAGAGAAGCUUCAGAUUAACAAUGGAGUUUGAAAGUGACUCGAUAUCAGUGUAUUUCUGAAGCUCCAAGGAUCGAAGAUUAACGAAAUUGCAAAAUGAGGAAGGCAACUGCGCAAACUCAGUUGUUGAAGCCCUACCAAACGGCACAAGGAUGAAGGUAGUGCCUGUAUGGCUGUGGCGUCUAAGAUGAGCACCGCUAGAUCUUCCAACGUGUCCUGAAUCUGGGGUAAAUUUUCCAAUUUUGAGCAACCACGGAGAGAAAGUUGCUUUAGGAAUUUCAUAUCAGAAAGGUCAAAUGGAAAGAUUGUAAGGGAAGAACAGUAAGAGAGAUCUAAAUGACAGAGCUUCUUGCAACUAAAGUGUAAGGGCACACCUUUCAUGAAUUUUGUCAACACUUCUAAGUAUAUAGUAUUAUUAGCCACUUCUUCUUCUUCAUUAUAUCUGUCAAAAGUAAUUGAGGAAGUUGGGAAAAUAUGACCACUGUAUGCACGAGGUUCACCACGCCGUCCUGCACCAUGCCGUUCUGAGAAAUUUAUCUCUUUGAUCAUAUCCGGUUUCUGGCGAUGGAAUCUUGAGAAAGUUUGACGUUGACGCUCCACGCUCCAGUAUCACAUGAGGGAAUCUUGAGAAAUUUCCACGUUGAUGCCCCAGUUUCUGAUGUGGGUAUCUUGUGACGCUCCAGUUUCACAUGACGAAAUCUGGGUUCACUGGUUGAAAACAUAUUAAGCUUCCCACAACAGGAAAUAUUAAUCCAUCCUUGUAAUGUGGAUAAAAUGUUGCUGGGAAUAUUUAUACUAUUCAGAUCAUAACAAUUAUCUAAACAUAAAUAACUGAGCUUGCUGAGUAAUAUCGAAGAGUGAACUUUAAUCAACUUUCCACAAUAACUCAGAAUUAUUUCUUCAAUAUUUGGUAAGAGAGAAAAGUCUGGUAUUCUAGUAAGUUUCCGAGAACCACUCAGGUCAAGCCUUUUCAAGUUUGGUAAAUUCUGCCACAAAUAGUAAAUGAAUCAGGUAACAAAUAAAAACCACUGUUAAAAAAAUCACACUCUGAACUAACAAAACUGUGGCUAUUCACUAUCAACAAUCCCUCUCAAAUACACUUCUACUAAUACAUUAACAACAAUAUCAUUAUAUUAACCAUAAAAUAUUACAUUUCUUCAGUUAAUACGUAGGACAAUAUAAUAAUCAGGUCACUCAGCUAAUGAAAAAAAUUAAACAACAUGAACUCAAUUAAAUAAUAUAAAACUUUUGAGUACUAGAUAAAAUAAGAAAAUUAAUAAAAAUUCAAUUUGAAAAUAAUCAAAUUUAUAAGAUACUUAAAACUUAAUUAAACCUACAAAUUUUCAUUAUAUGGAGUUAAAUACUAUAAAUAUUUACCACAUAAGUAGAAUGUUUAAAUAUAUAUUUCUUCACGUUGG
rnacentral:lncRNA from 1 species